rnacentral:lncRNA from 1 species
UCUUUUGAAAGUAAUUACACUCUCUUCUAUUUUUUAAUUAAUUUUACUAUCUCUCUCUAUUCCCUAUUAAUGUACAUAACAUAACCGACAUAUACGUAGCAUUUUGUGUAUAUGUUGGAAUUUUUGUAAUAUGUUUAGAGAGUUGGAAUUUUUUGUAAUAUUGAAAACAUAAGUUGUGUAUUUGUGUAAUUUUAAUUAAAUAUACUUUGAAUUGAAAUGAACUAUAUUAAAAUGGAUCAAAAAUUAAAUUGGAUCCCAACCCGAUCAAUUUGACUCACUUAGUCUAAAAAAUAUUAAUAUAUGAAUAUUUACACUUUGUAAACUCAACUCAAGAAAAUAAAUUUGAAUGAGAUUGAGAAGUUAAGUGGGUGGAUAGAAAGUGGUUGUGGAAUAAGAAUACAUUUUAAAAUUUAAUUUUUUAUAAAAUAAAAAAAUAUUUAUUUGAGAGGGGUGUAGGGUAGGGGAUUAGGUGUAGGAGGAGGAGUUUAGGAUAGUGGUUGAGUUAAGAUUUUUUUAAAAAAAUAAAUUAUUUUUUUUAAAAAAAAAAGCAAUUUUUUGAGAGAAAGGUAUGCCAAGGGGGAAGGGGGAUAUGGGAUUAUAGGGUUGGGGUAAAAAUUAUUUUUUAAAAAAAUGAAAAUUUGAUAGCGGGGGAGGAAGGGGGCAGAAGUUGAUGGGGGUUGAGGUAAGAUUUUUUUUACAUAAAAAAGAGAAAUUUAAUUUUAAGAAAAAAUUGAGGAAAAGNNNNNNNNNNNNNNNNNNNNNNNNNNNNNGUGGGAUAAGAUUUAUUCAUUUUAAAAGAUUUUCAUAUGAGGGAUUUUAAUGGGCACAUCGGGUCUUUGCGGAUGGGUUAUGAUGAUGUGCAUUGAGGUUUUGGGUUCGAGGAUAGGAAUGUUGAGGGGGCUACUCUUUUAGAUUUUGCGAGGGCCUUUGGGUUAGUGGUAGUGAAUUCCAGCUUUCCGAAGAAGGGGGAGCAUUUGGUUACUUUUCGUAGUAGGCUAGCCAAGAUUCAAAUUGACUUUUUGCUACUUAGGAAGGAGGAUAGAGCAAUGUGUAAGGAUUGUAAGGUUAUCCCGAGUGAGAAUCUUACGACCCAACAUAGAUUUCUAGUGAUGGACUUGGGUAUCAAGAAGGGCAAGAAGAGACGGGGUGAGGAGAGCAAUCCUAGAAUUAGGUAGGGUGGACUGACUCCAGCUAGUACCUUGGAGAUAGGGGCGAAGUUGGAAAGGAUGGGGGUUUGGGAGGUAGCGGAGACAUGGAUAGUAUGUGACAUAGGGUUGCGGGAUGCAUAAAAGAGUCAGCUAAAGAGGUGUUGGGUGUCUCGAGGGACUGGUCGGGCUGGUAUCGAGGGGAUUGGUAGUGGAAUGAAGAUGUUAAAAAGAAGGUGGAGACGAAGAAGAUGGCUUAUGUUAAGUUGGUGGAGAGUAAGGAUGAAGAGGAAAAUGGGUUAGUAGGGAGGAAUAUAAGUUAGCUAAGAAGGAGGCUAAGUUAGCAGUUACAGAUGCGAAAACUACAACUUUUGAGAGUUUGUAUAAGGGGUUAGAGGAAAAAGGCGGGGAAAAGAGGUUGUUUAGGCUUGCCAAAGCUGGGGAGUGAAAGGGUCGGGAUUUGGAUCAAGUGACGUGCAUUAAGGGAGAAGAUGACACAGUAUUAGUAGAGGACACCCUCAUUAAAAAAAGAUGCCAGUCGUAUUUUCAUAAGCUCUUGAAUGACAAGGGGGACAGAGAUGUUGUGCUAGGAGAGUUGGAGCACACCGGGGAGUGUCGCGAUUUCGGCUAUUGUCGGUAUUUUAAAGUAGAGAAGGUCAGCGAGGCUAUUCGCAAGAUGCAAAGGAGUAGGGCGAUGAGGCCCGAUGAGAUUUUGGUGGAUUUUUGAAAGUUUUCUAGCGUGGCUGGGGUGAGGUACUGACCAACCUGUUUAACAACAUUUUCAAGUCCGUAAAGAUGCCUGAGGCGUGGAGAUGGAGCACGAUGAUUCCAUUAUAUAAGAACAAGGGUGACAUUUAGAGUUGCAACAACUAUCGGGGUAUUAAGUUGUUGAGUCACACGAUGAAGAUUUUGAAGAGGAUGGUGGAGCGGAGGUUAAGAAAUAUUGUGUCUAUUUCGGAGAAUCAAUUUGAAUUUAUGUCUGGUCGCUCGACGACUGAGGCAAUUCACCUAUUACGAAGACUAGUAGAGCAGUAUAGAGAGAGAAAAAGGGAUCUUCAUAUGGUGUUUAUUGACUUAGAAAAGGCGUAUGACAAGGUCCCUAGGGAGGUUCUUUGAUGAUGCUUGGAGGCGAGGAGGGUUCUAGUGGCGUACAUUAGAGCGAUUAAGGAUAUGUAUGAGGGGGCGAAAACUCGAGUAAGGACGGUAGAAGGAGAUUCUGAGCACUUUCCGAUCUUGGCAGGGUUGUAUCAGGGAUCAGCUCUUAGUCCGUUCUUAUUUGCCAUGGUGAUGAAUGUGUUGACACGGAGUAUACAAGUCCAGGUGUCCUGGUGUAUGCUUUUUGCGGAUGAUAUAGUUUUGAUUGAUGAGUCGCGACAAGGUGUUAAUGAUAAGCUGGAGGAUUUGGAGACAAACUCUGUAGUCUAAAGGUUUCAUAUUGAGUAGGACUAAGAUGGAUUAUUUGGAGUGCAAGUUUAGAGACUCGAAGCAAGAGGAGGAGGUGAUGGUGAAGUUGGACUCUUAGGCAGUUUGCAAGAGGGAUAGUUUUAAGUAUCUUGGGUCUACGACCAGGGAAAUGGAGAGAUUGAUGAGGAUGUCUCGCACCGUAUUGGGGUAGGUUGGAUGAAAUGGAGGCUCGCUUUCGGGGAUUUUAUGCGAUAAGAAGGUGCCUCCCAAGCUUAAAGUCAAAUUCUAUAGAGUUGCAGUCUGGCCGGCUAUGUUGUAUGGAGCGGAGUGUUGGCCAGUUAAGAUUUCCCACAUCCAAAAGGUGAAGGUGGUGGAAACAAGGAUAUUGCAUUGGAUGUGUGGUCUUACAAGGACUGACAGGGUUAGGAAUGAGAUUAUUCGGGAGAAGGUGAGAGUGGUAUCGGUGGAGGAAAAAAUAUGAGAAGUGAGGUUGAGAUGGUUUGGUCAUGUGAUGAGGAGGGGCACGGAUACCCCAGUUCGUAGGUGCGAGAGACUAGCGUUAGAUGGUUUUAAGCGAGGUAGGGGUAGACAGAAGAAAUACUGAAGAGAAGUGAUUAGACAUGACAUGGAGCAGUUACAUCUCACUGAGGAAAUGACCCUGGAUAGGAAGGUUUGGAGAAAAAAUACUAGGAUAGAGGGAUAAGGUGAAGGGAUGAAUCGUAGUCCAUAGUUUGGAGGGUUUUGGUGUCUUUUGUUUGAUAAUGUACAUUAUUUUUGUGGAUGUUGUAUCUAUGUUAGUUUUAUCAUGUUUCAUGCUUUGAAUAUCUUUGUAUAUUGUCCUGUGUCUUGAGCUGGGGGUCUAUCGGAAAUAGCCUCUCUACUUCUCUAGAGGUAGUGGUAUAGACUGCGUAUAUUCUACCCUCCCCAGCCUCUACUAGGUGGGAAUGUACUGGGUUUGUUAUUGUUGUUGUUAUUGUUGUGUAAAAGAUAUCUUUAAAAACAUUAAUUUUUUGGGGAGUGAUAGGAGGGAGGGGAAGAUGGGAAGGUAGAGUUUUGAUUGUGGGGUAAGAAAAGAUUUUUAAUUUUUUUAAAAAAAUUAAAAAAUUAAUUUUGUUGGGUGGGGGAUGGGGGGUAGGAAGCAGAUGGGGGAUAAGGUGGGGUGGGGGUAAGAAAAAAAAUUUAUAAGAAGUUUUAAGAAAUAAAAUUAAUUUAUUUAAAGGAGGCGAGAUGGGGAUAAGGUAAGCUAGGGGUGUGUUAGGAUUAGGGUGAGGUGAGUGAUUUUGAUAGUAGGAUGACAAUUGUCAUUUAUUUUCCUACUUUUAUUAAAAAAAAAUUAUUUUUCUAUUAAACGAGUUGAAAUGGAGAUUGAAUUGGACUCAUUUGAACCCAAUUUAAAAGUUGUUUGGGACUUAAUGAGUUGAGAUUUAUCAAAUAGUAAAUUAUCUUAAACCCAACCCAUUAAAUAUUGAGUAAGUUGGACGGGCAACUCAAUUUGAAUUUAUUUUGGCACCUCUACCCCGAACUGUGAUAAAUGGUAUGUACGUAUUCUUCGUCUUACUUUAGGUACACAUAUGCAUCUACCAUUAAUGAAAUGAUAUGUAUAUGCCCCUCACACUAACGACAGAGACAUAUGUGUACUCAAAGUAUGAUGGAGGCUACAUAUGUAUCAUUUAUCAUAGUUCUGGGUAUAUUUUUUUUUCUAUUUAAAUUUUUUAAUCUCAAAUAAUUAAUUCAACCCGAUUACACGAUUCAAUAAACCCAUCGAAUUAGAUUUUAAAUCAACUUGACUCAACCUUUAUUUUUUAUUUCAAACUCGAUACUUCAUCCGUUUUUCUCUUAAACGUGAACCCCAAUUAAAUUAUAGUAAUUGACCGUUGUUGCUAGUUGGUGUUUACUAGUUAGAUAGAGUGGAGAUUAGGUCGAAGGUGGCCAGAGCUAGGGGUGAGGCAAUGAUUCGCGGUGGGGUAUUUUCGAUUUGACGAAGACGGUGGCUCAGUGUUAACCUGUGGUGUUGACCAGUAUGGGUAGUGUUUUUUGAACGAAAUUUCACUAGAACUUGAUACACGUAAGGGGUUUAAUUUAUUUUGUGUUGUUUUGGGUGUUAUGAGUUUUUUUUUUUUUUUAUAUUGAUAGUAGUGGGUGUUACUGUAUUGUGUGUGUACAUCAUUUUAGAAGUGAAAAAAAUGUGUCUAUUAGAUAGGCGUCUCUUGAAUUUUAAUUGGAUUGGGUUGAGAGUCCGAAACUAAAAUAUGCCCAUUUUAAAAAAUGACCAAUCUAUGUCAUGAAAGUAGAAAGUGACAUAAAUUGACUUUGUACACUUAUUUAGUGCAUAAUGUUUUUUCUUUAACGGGACAAAGCUGUGGAUAGUGCACUUUUUUGUGCACUAUUCAUUUUUUGUUCAGAUAGUGCAUAAAAAAGUGCACUAUUAAUAAAUAACGGUGGUAAAAAAGUGCACUAUCCACUAUCUUUUUGUGAAUAGUGAAAAAUGUACUUUUUUGUGCACUAUUCUUUUUUUAUCUACAUAGUGCACAAAAAACGCGCACUAUUAAUUACUCCCUCCAUUUCGUUUUAGUUGACCCUUUUAUUAAAAAUAUUUGUUUCAGUUUAAUUGUCCCUUUGACGAAAUCAAAAGGAUUUUAUUAUGUUCUUCCAAUAUUACCCUUAAUAUUAAAUGACUAAACAAAAUGUAUUUACUCAAAUUUAUAUUUUCAAAGCAUAAUUAAUAAGGUUAAUUUGGUAAAAUAAUCCCCUAAUUAAUAUUUUCUUAAUAGGUGUACCGAGUCAAUAGAGGUCAACUAAUAUGAAACGGAGAGAGUAUCUUUUUGUGAAUAAUGAAAAAUGCACUUUUUUGUGCACUAUUCAUUUUUUAUCAACAUAUUGCACAAAAAUAAUGCAUUAGUAUUAAUUAUCUUUUUGUGAAUAGUUAAAAGGUGCACUUUUUUAGUUUACUAUUUAUUUUUUUCAUAUAAUAUACAAAAAUAAUGCACUAUUAAUUAUUUUUCAUAAAAGACAUUAAUUUUAUGCAUUAUUCAUUGGAUGAGUGAAAAGUGGGAUAAAUUGUGUCAAGUCAAUUGACAUGAUUCGUGGUAGAAGAAGGCUACAUAUGUCUAUAUUGGGUAUGAAAAUAGUCAAAGUCUUUGUCAAAUAGAUGAAAGGGAUGGAAAUUGAUUUCUAAAUUAACUGAUUAUUUUUCACAAAAAUGAUUAUGUAUGUAAGCCAUAUUGUAAAUACAAGUUUCCAGCCCAAUUUUUUUUUUAACAAAUAGGUGACAAGCUAUGUAGCUAGCUAUGUAGCUAUACGAAGUUCAAUUGUUGCGCGCUUGGGAAGUUUACGACUGCCGAUCGUCAUUAACUUGUGAUGCUCACUACUCAUUUAUAUCUGACGGUAAUUCUAAAAGGAUCUAGAGCAUGUCAUUGAAGAUGUCAAAAUUAUUAUUUGGUGUCUAGUUAUGACAUUGAUGCGUUAUAAAAAAAAUAAUUAAUAAUGCACUAUUUUUGUGCAUUAUGUGGAAGAAAAAUGUAUAGUAUAAAAAUGUGCACUUUCAACUAUUUACAAAAAAAAUAAUUAAUAAUGCACUAUUUUUGUGCACUAUGUGAAUAAAAAUGAAUAGUGUAUAAAAAAAAUACACUUUCCACUAUUCAUAAAAAGAUAAUUAAGUGAGCACUGUGUGAAUAAAAAAAGGAUCGUGCACAAAAAAUAACAUUUUUCACUAUUCACAAAAAGAUAGGUGGAUAGUGCACUUUUUUGUGCACUAUUCAUUUUUCCAGAUAGUGCAUAAAAAGUGUGCACCUUCCACUAUUCAUAGAAAAAUAAUUAAUAGUGCACUUUUUUGUGCACUAUCUGAAAAAAACGAAUAGUGCACAAAAAGUACACUAUCCACUAUUCACUGCUGCCUAACAUUUUUAUUAUUUGUCCGUUUAAAAAAUAUAUUGUGCACUAAAUAAGUGCACAAAGCCUAUUUAUGUCACUUUCUACUUUUAUGACGUAAAUUGAUAAUUUUUUUAAAAUGAGGGCACAUUUUGAUUUCAGACUCUUAGGUCGAAUAGUGAGUUUGAGCUAAUUAUUUGGGAUAAAAACAUUAAAAUAAAAAAAAAUAUAACUCAAACUGUGAUAAAUGAUAUGUAUAUACCCUUUAUCAUACUUGGAGCAUUUAGUUAAAAGUGACAAAAGAGUUUGAAAAUAAGGUGUAGAUGACUCAAGUCUUAAUAAUUAAACGGAGGUGACAAUUAUUUUAUUAUGGAUUAAGAAAGUUAGAAAAGUUUGAAAAUAACCCACAAAUUUUUAAAUUUAUACUUUGAUCCAACUGUUAGUUAAUGUAACAGAAAACAGAGGAAAAAAAUGUGUUUCUCUCUCUUCUCAUCCAUUGUUGUUUUCUCUCUCAUCACGAUUUUUGUUGUUCAUUGUUGUUGCUGUUUUAUUCAUCUUCUUCUGCUUUAUUAUCAUUAUCUUCAACUUCAUUAUGAUCAUCUUCCACUUCAUUAUCCACUUCAUCUUCUUCUUGCCGAUCAUUGUUUUUGUUUUUACUGCUACUGCUGCUACUUGAAUAAUUUUUUAGGUUAAAUUUUGUUUCGCACAUCACUUUGACAUUACUUUAUAAGUGACUUUGGUAAGUAAAAUUAUGAUUUUUGGUUGAAUUUGUCAUCUGGUUACACCGCUAUUGCUGUUUUUUAACAAUGGAUAGAACCCGUUCAUGAAUCCAACAUAAGAGUCAUCUGUUUAAAUAGAUCACUCAUCUGUUGCAACAGAUGAGUAAUCUAUUGCAACAGAAGACUCAUAUGUUGGAUUCAUGAACGGGUUCUAUAUAAUGCUCGUAACAUGAAUUGAACAGAUGGGUCAUCUGUUGCAAUAGACGAGUUAUCUGUUGCAACAGACUAAUUAUCUGUUGCAUCAGGCUAGUUUUCUAUUGCAACAGACUAGUUAUCUGUUGCAACAGAUGAGUAAUCUGUUUGGAACAACACAAAACAACUUCUGCCAUAAACCCAACAAAUAACCAAUAUAUUUCAAAACUCUUGUUAUUUCUACUGGAUUCAAAAUUGUUCCUUACGUCCAAUUAUUGACAUGUUUGCUAAGAAGAAGAAAUAGACAGAAACACAAAUUUUUCAUUAAAAAAAAUAAAAUACAUUAGGUAGGUUGUUGGAAUAUAAAUAAAAAUAAAAAUACACACGCUAAAAGAAAAAACAUAACCUAAUUAUUAUUAUUAUUUAUUAUUAUUAUUAUCAUCGUCAUCAUUAUUAUUAUUGUCAGUCGGCCAAUCGUCAACCGGCUGUAGCAGGGCCCUCCUCAACCUGCGAAUUUCUUGGAGCAUCCUUGCUCUCACGGCGCCCAACUCUCACUGCAGGUUAUGACCUUGUCUCCGAAGUUUUGCACGGCAUCUCGUAGAAAAACAACAUCCCAAACAUGAUCAACCAUAUCUAGAACACGCAUGAAUUGACAAAAAAAAGUAAAAACACAAGUGAAAAAAAGAGUUCGAAUGUAAUUCAAUGUAUACUACCAAUUGAGUAUAUUUACACAAAAAAUAAGAAAAAGCUUACCUGAGUCAGGAAAAUUUGGUAUCUGGUCUUUGAAGAAAAAGUGAUUGAAGGUGUAAUAUGAAAGAUAAGAUGCAAGAAAUAAAUAGAGUGUAGUAGAAUGAACGAGUAAGGAGGGACCAUUUAUAGAGGAUUGAAUUUGAACGAGUUAAGCAAAAAGGCGAGACUGUUUGUUCACCUCCAUUUAUUAAUUACAUUCAAACUGGUGACUUUUUUAAUUACUGCGAAAAAUUAUGACUUUUCAGCUUAUUAUUAUUAAUUAGUUAAGUACCCCUUUUCUCAAUUAAAUAAUCGAAGACUUCUCACUUUUUCAAUAACCAUUUUUAUUGAGUUGUGAUAACAGAUUGUAUAUCUGUUGCAUCAGAUAACUCAUCCUUAAUAAUAGAUAUUCCAUCUGUUGCAUCAGAUAAUCUAUAUGUUGCAACAUAUAAUCUAUCUUUUUUAAUAAUCAUCAUAUACUUUCAUUAAUCCAAAUUGGUGACUUUUUUAUUAUAUAAAUUAAAAAAAUAGAUUUAAAAAUAAAAAUGAUCAAAAGUCACUGCUUGUCGCCUAUUUAAUAUUAACAUCAAUUAUUCAAAUUAAAUAACCAUUUUUUGCGGUUAUAAAUUAUGUUUAUCAUUUAUUUCCUUAUUGUUUUCUGUGAAAAGAAUGACUUAAUUAAAUCAAACUGGUGAGUUUUUUAUUAUUGUGAGAAGUCAUGACUUUUCAGCUUAUUAUUAAUAAUUAAUUCUUAAAUUUAAAUAACCUUUUUCUCAAUUAAAUAAUCGAAGACUUCUCACCUUUUCAAUAACUAUUUUUAAUAAAAUAAUAACCAUUUUUAUUGAGUUGUGGCCACAGAUUGUAUAUCUUUUGCAUCAGAUAACCCAUCUGUGGCAACAGAUAUACCAUCAAUUUCAACAAAUCGUCCAUUAGUUGAAAGAGCUUUUUUGAUUUCUUCUAACAGUUGAUUCAUCACUUAAUUAAUUGUGGUAACUUUUUUAUUAUAUAAUAAGUAAAUAAAUUAAAAAAAUAUAUUUAAAAAUAAAAAUGGUGAAAAAUCACGAUCAGUUAUUAAAAUUAAAUAAUUAUUUUUUUACAGUUAUAAAUUAUAUUUAUUAUUUAUUUCCUUAUUAUUUAUUUACGAACCAUUUUUCAUAUUAACUAAUCGAAAAGUCAUUAAUCUUCACCCUCUCAAUAACAAUAACCCUUUUUAUUAAUAACCGCCUAUUGCAACAUAUGAUCUAUCUGUUGCAACAGAUUAACCAUCCGUUGGCACAAACGCUCAAUCCCUACCUCCAACCGUCGACAUGUUGAGAAUAAGGAAUAGACAAAAUGAAAAUUAAAUAUUAAAUAAGAAUUAAGAAUCCAAAGUCGACCAAACAUAGAUUUUUGAAUCCAUUAUAUACAAAUAUAUAAUAAAAAAUAAAACAUACAUUAGAUUCCUCCCUUAGGUAGAUCUGAUAUAAUAAAAGAAAAUACAUACGAAAAAAGAUAAAACAUAACCUAAUUAUUAUUGUUACUAUUAUUAUUAUCAUUAUGAUUAUUAUUAAUAAUAUUAUCAAUCAGUCAAUCGUCAUUUAGUAGCUGCAGGGCCCUCCUCAGCCUUGCUCUCAUGUCACCCAACUCCCACCGGAAUUCAUGAAUUUGCUUUUCAAGUUUCCGCAAGGAGUUACGCAGAAUCACCUUGUACAAAUCUGAAUCAGACAUAUCUAGAAGUGGAAUAGACUGAACAAGUAAGGAGGGACCUAUUUAUAAAGGAUUGAAUUUGAAUGAGUUAGUAAAAAAGCCACGACUGUUCACCUCUUUUUAAUAAUUACAUCCCUUAAGUAAAUAAAACUGGUGACUUUUUGAAUGUGUUAGUUAAAAAGCCACGACUUUUCACCUCUUUUUUAAUAAUUACAUCCCUAAUUAAAUAAAACUAGUGAUUUUUCGAAUAUGUAAAUUAAAAAAAGGAUCUAAAUACAAUAUUUUAUCUUUAUUGUAUUUCGGAAAGAAAAGAAAAUUGCUUCAAAAUAAAUCUAACAGAUGGGUAAUAUGUUACAAAUUAUAUUCUAUUUGUUCGAUAAUUUACCACAUAUUUACAAUCUGAUGGAAAAGAUGUAUAUCUUUAUUUGAUUAUUUCCAACAGAUAAGUCAUAUGUUGCAACAAAUUGAUCAUCUGUCGUAAUAGAUGUUUAUAAUUAUUUGAUAAUUUUAAUAGACGUGUCAUCUGUUGCAACAGGUUAGUCAUCAGUUUAUUUAAAUUAAGUCAUAGAUGGGCUAGAAAGAAUAAUGUGCGUACAGAUGGAUGGAUCCACUUUCAUGUGUGAGAGUUAAGUAUUACUGAUAAGGUCAUCGGGACAACACACAUAAAUUACAAUGAUUUUGUGAAUGCAGUUUUUAAUCGAUUAGGCAUUGAUCAUUCAAACAAGAUCCUGCAUUGUACAACUAAGUUUGAUAGGUUCAAAUUGAUAAGGCCGAGGGGCCUAUGAAUAUGGUGCUGAUAUCCUAUUAUGAAUUAAUGACGGUUGUUGCUCAUGUUUAUGCGUGUCAAGUUUUGAGAAGGGAUCAAUAUUUGGUGUCAGUGCAGAGAUCUAAUAGCGAUUGGACUUAACUUUAAGUCUGCAUUGGACUCUUAGAAGGCUUUUGAAACCUCGCACUGCAUCAAACAAAAACGAAAAACCAAUAAAAAUUCCCCUAGCUCAGAUUUAUAUGGAUGGGUAGUUCGAGAAGAUAAUUAUACUCCAGAAAGAGCUGUAGGAGAAUACCUGUGAGGGAAAGGGGAUUUGAUGAAAGACUAUAUCAUCUGAGAUCUAAUUGAAGAGAAAACAUAGGGUAGCAAGGAACUUCUAGAAAAUCUGGCUGAUGAAACUGAAUUAAAAAAUGAGAAAUCUGAGUCAAGUGCAAAUAUGAAAGUGUAUCUAGUAAUAAAAAUCCAUCUGUUGUCUCUCUCAAAGAAAAAUAGUCUAGCUAAAUACUUUUCUAGGGAACUGAGACUAGGUAGCAUGGUCGAAAUGAUCAUCUACAUAAAAAAUAGCAGAACACAAAGAAAGUAGCUUUGCAGACACUGAGGGUUGAAAUGAUGUACAGUAAGUCAAGAAAACUUGCGCUAAGAACAACUGAAGUUAAAAUAAGAAAUCUAAGCGAAGGCGAAAAUUUCUGAAUUUUAAAUUGCAUGCCAUGCAUUGUUGUUUGUGGUUUUGAUUAAGUCCACUACUAUUGACCUGAUUGGAACCACAAACAAGAUUGAAAGGCAGAUUGAGUAUCAUUACUUCCUUAGCAAUAUGGAUAUAAUUGAUUGUGUUUUCUUGCCUUAGUAUGCUUUAAACAUAUCUUGGAGAAGAUCAAAGGCUUUCUGUAGUAUGUGAAUCCCAAUAAUUUUCAAGCUUGACUCUAACUUUCUGAAUUGGUCUUUAAGUUUGUCAUUGCCGUCUUUGAGGUUAGUAUAGAGUUUUUGGUCUUUUGUGAGCUAGUCGAUGAGGAACACUUUCUUCGAAGUUGUGGCAUUGUAAAAGGCCUUCAAAAUGCUUCCAGAACACUUUUUUCAGAAGUCUUAAAUGAUACAUGUAGGGUCUCUAUGUUUUUUUAGGUCAAUAUGUUAAUGCACACCCAAGCAGUAGUCCCAAUAGUUGAACAACUCAAUUUCACGAGCGUUGUUCAAUGUAGUUUGUUCAACCAAUCUUCAAAUGAUUUGAUAGUUUAAUGAGCCUGGAAUUACAUAACAUUUGAUCUAAACUGAUUCCACUAAUCCUAUAGCCUAAAUGCUAAGAAACAACUUAUUUGACUCCAAACAAUAGUAACAAACAAUUUAGAUCAAAUAAGGUACUACAAUAUUUAUAAGGUACUCUAUUUUUAUUUUCUAUUUAUUUAUAAUAUCUAUUUGGAGUUAAAUAUCCAUUGUUUGGAAUCAAAUAAGUUGUUUCCUAGCGUUUAGGCUAUAGGAUUAGUGGAAUCAAUUUAGAUCAAACGUUACAUAAUUUCAGGCUCAUUAACCAUUAAAUCCUUUGAAGGUUGGUUAAACAAGCUAUAUUGAACAACGCUCGAGAAAAGGAGUUGGUCAACUGUUGGGACCACUGCUCGAGUGUGCAUCAACUCGUUGACCUAAAACAGACAUAGUGACCCUCUACGUAUCAUUUAAGCCUUUUGAAAAAAAUGUUUUGGAAGCCUUCUGAAGGCCAUUUACAAUGCCAUAACUUUAAAGAAAGUUUUCUUCAUCGACGAGCUCCCAAAAGACCAAGAAUUCUAUAUUAACCUUAAAGAUGACAAUGAAAAACUUGAAGACCAAAUCAGCAAGCUGGAGGCAAGCUUGAAAAUUAUCGAGAUUCACAUACUACAGCAAGCCUUUGAUCUUCUCCAAGAUACGUUGAAAGCAUACUAAGGCAAGAAAACACAAUUUAUAUCCAUAUUACUAAGGAAGUAAUGAUACCCAAUCUACCUUUCAAUCUUGUUUGUGGUUCAAAUCAGGUCAAUAGUAGUGGACCUAAUCGAAACCACAAACAACAAGGCAUGUGAUGUAAUUUAAAAUUCAGAAAUUGCCGUCUUUGCUUAGAUUCCUUAUUUUAACUUCAGUUGUUCUUGGUGCAAGUUUUAUUGACUUAUUGUACAUCAUUACAACCUUCGGUGCCCGCAAAGCUGCUUUCUUGGUAUUCUUCUAUUUUCUAUGUAGGUGAUCAUUUUGACCACGCUAGCUAGUCGCAGCUCCCUAUCAAAGUGCCCAACUGCACUAUUUUUCUUUAAGAGAGACAACGGAUAAAUUUUCUUUUUUGGAUAAACUUUCAUAUUUGCACUUGAUUCCGAUUUCUCAUAUUCUAAGUCAAUUUUCAUUUUUGGAUAAACUUUCAUAUUUGCACUUGAUUCAGAUUUCUCAUAUUCUAAGUCAAUUUCAUCGGCUUGAUUCACAACAAAUUCCCUCCUAUCCUAUGUUUCCUCCUCAAUUAGUUUUUAGAUGAUAUAAUCUUCAUCAACUCCCUUUUUUCCUCACAAGUAUUUUCCUAUCGCACCUUCUGACGUAUAAUCAUCACCCUGAGCAACCCAACCAUAUAAAUUUAGUCUAGGGCAAUAACUAUAUUGAUUUUUGUUCUUGGUUGAAGUAGUGGGAGGCUUCGAAGGCCUUCUCAGAGUGUAAUUCACCCUAAAAGUUAGUCCAAUCGCUAUCUAAUCUUUUUACCAUGCCACCAAAGCUUGAUUCCUUCACAAAACUUGACACACAAACAUGAGCAACAACCAUCAUUAAAUCUUAACAGGGUAUCAGAACCAUAUUCAUGGUACCUCGACCUUAUUAGUUCGGACUUAUCAUAUUUAACUGUAAAAUUACAGACAUCUUGUUUGAAUGAUGAAUGCCUAAUUGGUAAAAAAUAACAUUCACAAAAUGAGUGUACUCUAUGUGUAUUUUCACGAUAACAUGAUCAGUAAUACAUACCUCCCACUUAUGAAGUGGUUUCAUCUGUGUAACGAUCCAUCUUGUCAUUAUUAAAUUAUCCAUAAUAAAUUCAUGAAAAUUCAUUCCUCAAUAUUAACUUGGGUUCAAAAUUAUAAAUAUUUUAUUUGUUAUGUCACCUUAAAUUUUUUGGCGUAGCUUUUAGCCUUCGAAUGUGUCUAGAUAGACUCAAUCUCAAAGAAUUCAAUUAUUCAUGAGUUCUAAUAUCAAUACUUUUGUUUUAAAGUUCUUUUAGGAUGAAUUAAGGUCGUACAAUAUCCCUAACACAUAGUUAAGUUUAUAAUUUUCUUUCCGAUACAGUUUUGAUAUAGGUUUCUAUUUGGGCUAACUUCAAACGACUAUAUCUCCUAUAAUAUAAGAAGUUAGGUGUCCCGUUACCUAUUAGAUCAAAUAUAUCUGAGUUCUCUUUCCUAUACAAUAAACCGUUCCUUAAUCCAAAUUCGAAGUAAAAUGUUAUGACUGUUUUACUGAGCACUUUUCGAGCUGAAACGGGAUUUCUCUAUAGCAAAAAUUAUAGUUGUAUUUAAAUCAGCUUUAGCCAUAUUUUAGGUCUUAAAAUCUAAAAUUUCAUUCCCCAACCCUAAAGAGGUGAUUUCCCAAAGCUUAAGGUGAUAUUCCUCCAUGGAGGUAAGUUGUUCCAUUAUUUUCUUCGUAUUUUAAUCCGUUAAUAUCUUAGAAUCCUUAGAAAGACCUUUAAUGGUGGAAUUCUUUUGGUGAAUACUCAUGGGUGUUUUUAACAUGACCUAGAGUUGAUUCUAAACUAUAAAUUAAAGAUUCCUAACAUGAAUUUCAUAAACUAGAUUAUGAAUUUUGAUGGUUAGAAACCUUGAAUUUCAUAAAGAUAAGACAUUUAGUAUAAAAACUCCAUUAAUGGAGAUGGGUUAAGUUUGAAAGAUCUAAUUAAUGAUGAAUUAAAUUUGGGGAUGAUAUAGACCUUGAAUGAAGGGUAGAAUAAGUGGGUUUGAAUCCCCAAGACAAUUGAUUGAAGAGUAAUUACUUAUUACUCUUAUAAUUGCUUAUUUUUAGAUGAUUGAUUAUUCUAAGGCAUGAAUGAAAGGAAAGAGCAUCUUUGUUGCAGCUUGUUUCUUCCAAAAGCUUGGCGUCCAGGUAGGCUAGGUUUAAUGAGUAGAAGAUUGUGUUAUUUUAUACUUUUGUAAUUUAGAAUUGAUGGGAGAAAGCAUGUCUAGGUCUGUGGGCAUGGAGUUGAGGUGGAUAAAGACACGAAAACUUAACUUUAAUCCCGAAAAUUAUAUUAUAGAUUAAUUAUGUAAUACUUGUGAUAUUAUGUGCUAUGUGUUGCAAUGAGAUUGUUGUAAAUGAAGAAUAUGGACAUGAUAGUUCUUAGUUGUUCUGGUGAUGAAUCUAGUUGAGUUAUAAUGAUAUUAAGUUGUACGUGUUGGACAAUAAUAUGGUGAGGAUUAAGUACAGAUAAACACAAUAAUAUCUAAAGGAUAGAUGACUUGAAUUAGUGUGAUGAUUGUAUUAUAUGAAAAAAGGUAGUGACAUUUAAUAAUUAAUGAGUAAGUAAUACUCCAAUAGUGACUUGCAUUCUUAAGUGCUAAAUUGUGAUUUAUUUUAUGAUAUUCUUGUUCUGGUAUUGAUAAAAGCACUUUAUCUAUUAAAUGCCCAUGAAAGGCUAAAUUGGUGAUAAUAAUGAUUUAUUGAAAUGUGCCUAUCAGAGGCUUUUUUGAUAAUGAUAAUUCCUUGUAUUAAUGCCAUGAAUGACUUGUUGAUGUUUGAAUUGUUGAUGCGUGUAUAAAUGAUUAUUAAAAUUUACUUGAUGGAAUUGUCUCAUGACUAAAAGUGUACUUGUAAACUCGGUACAUCGUGUUGUAUGCUGUGAGGAGGUGUAAAUUUGAUAUUGAUAUUACUUAUUUAUGGUGGAUCGGGUACUGCGCCGGUACAAAUAUGUAUAUAUUGGAUUGGAUACCAAGCCGGUAUGGAUAUGUAUAUGUUGGAUUGGGUACCAUGCCAGUACGGAUAGAUAAUGUUAUUUUUUUCUUCCCUUGAUAAUAGCACCAUUUUUACCAAGAACAAGAACAAAUCAACCCAACAACAAGCGCAACACCAAAAACACCAAUAUCGUUGUUUUGUUUGUACAAACACAAACAACAAAAAUCAAACUUCAAAAAAUGCAACAAAAAAUAAAAAAUCGUAUUUCACUCUGAAAAGAGAAGAAAAAAAUUACCAGAAAUUAAGAUUUUAUUCAAACCAUAUUUUAAAUUAAAGCAACAAUUAUUAAAAUUGUUAACCAAUACUAGAAGAGAAGUUGGCUCAAGUUCCUUUUUUUCUUCAAAAUUAAAAAGGCCAUAAUUUUUUACUUGUAAAAGAAGAAAAAGGACGAUGAAAAUAUCGAAGCUGUUAUGGCCGGAGAGCAAGGCAGUCACGUCAAUUGAUGGUUGAAAGUGGAAAAGGAACUUGAAGCCCAACUAUUUAUCGCCGGAGGUUGAAAUUGCCGAGGAUUGAAAGGAGAAAUUUGCAGAACUAUUGAUUGAGAGAAACUGUCGAGAGAGAGAGAAGAGAUGGUUGAUUUGGAGAGGAGAUGGGUAUGGGUUGAUUUGUGUUUUUGAAAAGAUUAGAAAGUUUUGAAAAUAUUAAUCAAGUAGACAAUUAACUUAAUCAAGUUUUCUAAUUAUGUUUGACCCUUUAAAUUGGUCAAUAUCACCAAUCCUUCAUUCAAAACUUAAAUGACACCUUUUCUUCAAUUUUCUAAUCAUACUAUGGGUACACAUAUGCCCCUACCGUUAGUGUGAGGGGCAUAUAUGUAUCAUUUCAUUAAUGCUAGGGGCAUAUGUAUAUUCAAAGUAUGAUGAAUGAUAUAUAUGUACCAUGUAUUAUAGUUCAGAUGUAUAUUUGUUUCUUUUUCCAAAUGGAUAUUUAAAAAUUAAAUUGUUACUCUGUAACGCCUCAAAAAUGGGUCCCGAGACAUCACACGAUGCUCAAGACUACAAGUAGCCUCAAGCUAAUCCUGUAAGCCUUCUACUAAAUCUGAAAUUGGAUAAAUAUAAACAUAAAAUCAAUGUAGAAGUCUAUCUGAUCUAAGAUGAAGUUAUCUAAACAUAAUAUCUGAAUUAUUAGACUUCAAAGUCUGAAAAAUCAAUACUGGAAAUCUGAAUUUUAACUAGCAUGACAAACCUCUACUACUAACAACUAGAGAGCCAUUGGGACAAGCCCCCAACUGACUUGAACUAACUGAAAAUACUAAAUCAACUACUGUAAUAAGCUAGAAAAUAUGAAUAACUAGGUCCCCGAACUAUAAGGACUCACCAUCUCUUGAGAUGUAGAUGAAGAUGCUCGAAAUCACUCACGCUGCUAAAACUGAGCACUUGAACCUACAUUAUGAAACAAUAUAGCACAUAAAUGUAUAUGUAGAUCAGUACUUUUGGAAUGUACUGAGCGUAUGGGGGAGAAUGCAUAAGUAAAACAGUGAGGAACAAUAUAUAUUUUUCUCAUAAAUAAUGCAUGCUAAGUAAUAAUGGCUCACUUAGGCUUGAGUAAUUGGAAACUACAUUCAUAGAUCAUGAAUGAUAAAACAUACUAUAUGAAUGUUGUGAGCCACCACACUUAGUUCUAAAUCUGUACUUGAAAUAUGUUUUCAAAUCAUACAUGCGAAGUGUAAAAGGACUCACCUCUAUAUCUGUAACUGAAAGUUGAAAUGUAGUAGCUAAUGACUUAUAUAAAACAAUAUCUGAAUAAAAUCGUGAGCCUUUACACUUAGUUUCUAAAAGCUUUUUGUUAUUCUUUUCUGUUAGAAUUACUCUUUUCUAUAGGGAGGUUCUUCUAACCGACAUACACUAUAUGAGAUAUUAUAGUGUCCAACUUCUAGUUUUCUUAUGGGAAAACCUCACGUUGAGGAGAGGUGUCAUACUCUUCCCAAGAGUAAGACCUAAGCUAAGUGAUCCAUCUAUAAUUAUCAUCCAUAUAGAAAUGGAAAUAAUCUAAUAGUCUGAACCUAUGUUUGCUCGUAGUUCUAGGGCAUGUAAACAUACCCAACUCGGUGUUAAAUACUACUCCCUUUAAUCCGUGUGCUUAUUCUAUAGAAAAUCCACUUUUAAAACUAGUAUAAGGGCUUAAAAUGAAAACCAAUCAUGCAUCUGUUCACUAUAAAUUGUAAGGAAACUAUAAAGUGGAUUCCAUAUCUAAGUUGAGGAUCAAAAAGAUCAAAUCUUGUUCAAAAUCUGGAUAUAAACAAAUUAUGGGAUGCUUAAAAACAUAAUUUUCUUAAAGGAUCAACAUUAAAACUAGGGCUUAGUAACACAUGCUUCUAAUUCAUGUCAAUCAUCAUAAAUUUCAAUAUAAAUAAUAAAAAUCUUAAUAAUUCAAUUCUAAAUAUGAAAAAAUAAUGUCACAUGUAUUGUAACGCCCCAAAAUUUUUCUUAGCUAAAUUUUAUCCCUAAAAUAUCAAGCAUUGACUUUUAGAAUGAUUUAUACUUAUUUCCCUAUGGAAUCCCUUAAAUUUCAACUUUUCAUUUCGUAGAUGACUGAAUAAGCUUUCCGUUGAUAUAAGAUUCGUCCAAAAUGAACACUCGGUGAAAAAGUUAUGGCUAUUUGAUGUGCUAGUCGUAAAAUAUCGUCAUUCUGAUAUUUAGCGCACCACGGAGAGGGUUUAAUUAGCAAUUAUCAAAUUUCAGUAGAACCUCAUGAUAGUGGUACAUCGCAGAGGAUCCCAAAUUCCCAUUCGUCAAUUUCCAGUGAGCCACCACGAUAGUGGCGCGUCGUAGUGGCCCAUAUAAUUAGGUUCCCAGUUUAAUUUUUUUAGCUUCGUUCAGAAGUUAACAAGGGUAAUUUAUAUUUUUUUCAAUCCUCUUAAAAUGUCCAAACAGUAUAUUAAGAUCUCUACAAGCAGAAUAUAUGAUAUUCUCAAGAUUUUCCUCAAAAUAAAAACCCUAAUUCAUAUACUUCUCCUCCAAGAAACUCAAGAUUCAACCGUGGAUUUUCAAAAUUGACUAAAGAUUUGGAAUCCUUAAACCGUAGGCUUAAUGGAUCAUUCCUUAUUCUUCGUAAUGGAGGUACGCGGGGUUUAUCCUAAAAACUACAUGGGCUUGAAAUUGUUAAAGCAUGAUUUAAAGGUUUUGAUGCAUGUAUUUUAUGGGGGUUUUGAAAACUAUAUUAUUGAUUAUGCAUUUUGAAAGUUUCAAUGCUACUAUUGCUUUGUCCUUGUGGUCUUUUCCCCUAAAUUGAUUUACAUAUAUAUGUAUAUGUAUGAAUUUGAGAUUUAAGAUUGUUGAGAGCAUAAAUUAUGAGCUCCCUCUCUUGUAUUAAAUUAAAGAUUAUGGUUUUGUGAUUUGAAAGAUGUUUUUACAAUAUCCUGGCAUUUGAAUAUGAUUUGAAAUUAUUGAGAGAGUGUUUCUUGAUAUCAAUAUGUUUUUGUGUGUAUGAGAAAGAAUUGCAUGUGUUUACAUGAGGUUUAAAAAAAUGAUUCAUUGAAUUGAAUUAUUGAAAUGCUGGUCUCAAAACUUGUGUUUUGAAUAUGGAGAUUUAUGAUAGACUAAUAAUGGCUCAGAGAUGUGACUUGCAAGUCAAUGGUAUGACGAUACCAUAUGUAUUUAUGCCAUAACAGAUUAUGUUUUCACAGCAUGUUUUCAAAGUAAGUUUUCAGAGACUGUAUGUUUUGAUACAGUUUUAAAAAGGGGCUUAAAGUGGUUUAGGAGGUUACCCGAAGAAGGAACGCGUUUAAGAAACUCUUAGCCUAAAAGCGUAGUUGCCGAUAUGGGUAGAUAAUUAUUGUAUGCUGGCGACGAACGUGUGGCAUAGUAUAUUCAGAGACUUCGACCCUUGCGGCACACUUGGGUUGGGGGCUUCGCUGCAGAGUUAAUGACAGUUUCCAUAUAGCCCAUGGAAUUUUUCAGAGUUGUAGGGUAUACCACCUAGCGUAGAAGUAACACAGAUUUCUCAGAGCUGAGAUGAGUUUUACAAAGUCUUUAAAAUGCCCAUGUGAAUUCUUACUACCUGAUAUGCUAAUGAACUAUUUUAAAUUGCUCUCAAUAUGUUGAUUUAUAAAUGAUUAUUUUGGAUAUGCUCUGCGUACUAGUAAAUCUGUAUUGACCCCCUCCCCCUACCUUUUAGGUUCUGAGACUCAGUCUAGAGGUCCAGAUAAGCAGUAGAUAAUUCAGACAACUGAUUAGAUUGUGCAGUGGUGAGCCUUCUCUAUUUCAGAAGGCCUGUCUUCUCAGAUUAUUUCACUUAUUUUAUUUUUGGUCUACUGGGGGCCUUAUUCCAGUUUCAGACAGUUGUCAGAUUUCAUAUAGUAGAGAUUUCACAGACUUAGUCAGAUGUUAUUUAGAUGUAUUUUAUUUAUAGUUUUCAUACUUAUGUUGAAUUUAGAGUUGACCAUGUUUCGUUAGCAGAUUAUGUUUCUGCAUCUUCUUUAUUAUAUGAAUGUUGUGCAUGAUUCCCAGAUAGAGAAGGGCAUUCUGUGCCUUCAUGGUUUGGGAUGUCUGUCAUGGCCAGACCCUAGUUUGGGUCGUGACAAACUUGGUAUCAGAGUGCAGUUCAUGAUCCCAGGGUAUCUUUGAAAUCGCGUCGGGUAGAGUCUUAUUUAUGGGUGUGUAGCGCAUCACACUUACAAGCAGGAGGCUACUAGGCAUUUAAGAAUGUUCCUUCUCUUUGUGAUUUAGUUCGUGCUUCAGAGUCUAAUCUGUCCCCUAAUCAAUGACCUCUUGAUUUUUAGAAAACCAGCGAUGCCUCCCCGUCGCACUAACAUUAAUUCUCCGGAUGAUGAAGUCCAUCCUACCCAUGGGAUGCAGACCCAUAACAGAGCUCAUAUCCCAGAACCUAUUCCUACUCUGUGAUUACCUUUUGUACCUACCAAUCUUCCUAAAGCUCCUCAAAUGGGGGCCAAUCGCACUCAGCAUCAUGAAGGAGAGGUUUCUAAUUCUGAAUUUAGAUAAUCUAUUCACAUGCUUGCACAGCUAGUAGCCACACAAACUUAGAGGUUAGAGGAUAUUGGGUCUGUAUCUGUUACUUUUGAAGUUACUAGAGUGGGCCAGUUCAUGAGAGUGGACCCGCCCAAGUUCUCUGGUGCUAACGUAGAAGAGGACCCGCAGGAGUUCGUAGAUGAAAUGGAGAAAAUUUUCAAAGUAAUGCAUAUUGAAUAGGAGGAGGGUGUUGAGAUAGCAGCAUACCAGCCAAAGGAUGUAGCAAGCCAAUAGUACAACGAGUGGGAAGAUAUGAAGGGUGACAGUGCUGACCCUACAGUUUGGGAUGAGUUUGUAGAAGCUUUUCUUGACCGAUUCUUUCCUCUGGAGCUGAGGGAAGCUAAAGCAGAAGAGUUCAUAAACCUUAAGUAGGGUAAGAUGAGCGUUUAGGAGUAUACUUUAAAGUUUAACCAGCUGGCCCGUUAUGCUCCUGAGAUGAUGAGUAGUAUGAGGUCCCGAAUGAGGAAGUUUGCUUCCGGCCUUUCAGAUGAUCUGGUGCUUGAGUGUCAGGGAGAUAUGCUGAAUAGGGAUAUGGAAUUUUCUAGCCUAUUAGUCCAUAUGCAACAAGUUCAGGAGAAGAAGAAGAAGAUAGCCAAAUCUAGGGAAAAGGAUAGGCAGGCAAAGAGAGCCAGAGCGACAAACCAGAGUCAUAGUUAGCAGUAGAACGAUAAUUGGGGCGGCAAAUGGAAAAAGAAAAAGAAUUGGGGUAAUGCACAAUCGGUAGCUAGUGCUCUAGUGUCCAGACCCACAGUUGAGCAGCCCAUCUAAAAUUUUCAGUCUAGUCAGGGGCCGAGGAUACAGGGUACGUGAUUAUAGGGAAGUAUAGCCCAGACCUCUUGGUCCUAUCUGUGCUGUGGGAGAUGCGGGAGGAAUUAUCCAGGGAGAUUUCAAUUUGGCGCUUUGGUGUGUUAUUCAUACGGCCAACUAGGCCAUAUCCAGAGAGACUAUUCGGGAUCAAAGAGUAAUGUUGGAGCAGCCAAGUCGCAGGUGAAUUUAUCUGCACCACCACCUUAGAAGGGUGCCACUUCAACCACCGAAAAUGGUUGUAACCGAUUGUUUGCUUUAACCAACCACCAGGAGGCAGAGGCCUCACCAGAUGUAGUCACCGAUACAUUGUAAAUCUUUUCUCGUGAUGUGUAUGUAUUACUUGAUCCUUGGUCUACCUUGUCUUAUGUGACUCCAUACGUGGAUGUUGGUUUUAGGUUUGAGCCUGAUGUGAUUGUUGAACCUUUUUCAGUUUCCACCUCGGUGGGAGAUUCUGUUGUGGAUAGAAGGGUGUAUAGAAAUUGUGUUGUGUUUAUUUUCAGUCGGGAUACUGAGGCAGAUCUCAUAGAACUUGAUAUGGUUGAUUUUGGUACCAUCUUAGGGAUGGACUGGCUCCAUUCGUGCUAUGCCACCUUGAAUUGUAGGACUCGAAGAGUCACUUUUUCUUUUCCAAAUGAGUCGGUGAUAGAAUAGGAGGGACAUUCUCUAGCACCUAGAGGGCAUUUCAUAUCUUAUCUCAGGGCCCAUAAACUUAUUUCCAAAGGUUGCUUGUAUCAUCUUAUUCGAGUUAAAGAUUCUAGUGCCAAAAGUCUCCCUCUUCAGUCUAUCCUCGUAGUGAAUAAAUUCCCAGAAGUCUUUCUAGGUGAUCUCCUCAGAAUACCACCUGAUAGGGAGAUAGAUUUUGGUAUUGAUUUAUUGCCAAAUACUUGUCCUAUUUCUAUUCCGCCAUAUAGGAUAGCUCCUAUAGAGCUAAAAGAGUUCAAAGAACAGCUAGCAGAUCUUCUAGCUGUUCGUGUAAAAGAAAGAUGGUUUCCUUCGUAUAUGUAUAGAUUACCGCCAAUUAAAUAUGGUCACAAUUAAAAAUAAAUACCCUCUUCCUAGGAUUGAUGAUCUUUUUGAUCAAUUUCAGGGUGCUAAAUAUUUUUCAAAGAUAGACCUUCAUUUGGGAUAUCACCAGUUGAAAGUUAGAGAGUCAGAUAUUCCCAAAUCAACUUUUCGAACCAGAUACGACCAUUAUGAAUUCUUAGUCAUGUCCUUCAGGUUGACUAACGCCCCUACAGCUUUCAUGGAUCUAAUGAAUAGGGUUUUUUAUCAGUUUCUGGAUCUGUUUGUCAUCGUAUUCAUUGAUGACAUUUUGGUAUAUUCUAAGAGCGAGGAGGACCAUGCCAAUCACCUCUGAAUCACCCUUUAGACCCUUAAAGAUCAUAGGUUGUAUGUAAAAUUUUCCAAGUGUGAAUUCUGGUUGAAUGCUAUUGCGUUCUUGGGGCAUAUUGUGUCUAGUGAGGGGAUUAAGGUUGAUCCCUAAAAGAUUGAGGCAGUGAUAAAAUGUCCCAGACCCACGACUCCAAUUGAUAUUCGAAACUUUUUAGGUUUGGCGGGUUAUUACAGAAGAUUCGAUUAGAGUUUUUCUUCCAUACCUGUACCACUUACUAAGUUGACUCAGAAAAAGGUGAAGUUUUUGUGGUCUGACUCUUGUGAGAAUAUCUUUGAGAAGUUGAAAGACAAGUUGACUACUGCUCCCGUUCUGACUCUUUCGAAGGGUACAGAAGGUUUUGUUGUAUACUGUGAUGUAUCUCAAGUGGGACUUGGGUGUGUUCUUAUGCAGCACGGUAAGGUAAUGACUUAUGCAUCUAGGCAGUUGAAGGUGCAUGAGCGAAACUGCCCUACUAAUGACUUGGUGUUAGCGGCUGUGGUUUUGACACUUAAGAUCUGGCGGCACUAUUUGUAUGGGGUACACAUUGAUAUAUUUACUGACCAAAAAAGUUUACAGUAUACUUUCUCACAGAAAGAAUUAAAUCUCAGGCAGAGGCGGUGGUUAGAACUUUUAAAAUACUAUGAUAUAAGCCUGCACUAUCAUUCGGGCAAGGCAGAUGUGGUAGCCGAUGCCCUCAGCAGGUUAUCUAUGGGCAAUCUUUCUCAUGUGGGAAAAGAAAAGAGGGAGAUGGUGAAGGAUAUUCACCGACUUACAAAUCUAGGAGUGCGACUUUUGGAUUCCAAGGAUGGAGGAGUGGUUGUUCAUGAGAUAGCUAAAUCUUUUCUUUGUGUAGAAGUUAAAGAGAAGCAGCUUGAAGAUCCCAUCUUGAUGCAGAUCAAGAAAGAUGUGGGUCAACAAAAGGUAUUGUCUUUUGAAAUUAGUGGUGAUGGCAUUUUGAGAUACCAGGGUAGAUUGUGUGUACCAGAUGUAGAUGGUCUGAGGAAGAGAAUCCUUAAAGAAGCUCAUACGUCGAGGUAUGUUAUUCACCCUGGCUCUACUAAGAUAUAUCAGUAUUUGAAAACCAUUUAUUGGUGGAAUAAUAUGAAGCGUGAUGUGGCUAACUAUGGUACCAAGUGUUUGAAUUGUCAACAAGUUAAAGUGAAACAUUUGUGGCCAGGUGGUUCUUCUCAAGAGAUAGCUUUGCCUUUGUGGAAGUGGGAGAUGGUUAAUAUGGACUUCAUUAUAGGACUUCUAAGCUCCCGAAACCAGUAUGAUUCCAUUUGGGUGAUUGUAGAUAGGUUGACCAAGUCAGCUCACUUUCUACCUAUCAAGACAAAUUAUUCAGGAGAGGAUUAUGCCAAGCUGUUCAUUACAGAAAUAGUUCAUUUGCAUGGGGCACCUAUGUCCAUCAUAUCUGAUAGAAGUACAAGUUUUAUUCACAGUUUUGGAGAUCGUUUCAAAAGGGUUUAUGUACCCAAGUGAAUUUGAGCACAACUUUCCACCCUCAGACAGAUGGGCAAGUUGAGCGCAGAGGGGCAAGUUGAGCGCACCAUCCAGACUCUUAAGGAUAUGUUGAGGUCCUAUGUGAUUGAUUUUAAAGGUAGUUGGGUAGAACACUUGACAUUGAUAGAGUUUGUAUAUAAUAAUAGUUUCCAUUCCAGUAUUAAGAUAUCACCAUUUGAGGUAUUGUAUGGGAGAAGAUGUAGGUCACCAAUAGGGUUGUAUGAAGUAGGUGAGACACAGAUAUUUGGGUCUGAUCUUGUUCAUCAGGCAAUAGAGGAUGUAAAAGUCAUUAGAGAACAACUUAAGAUAGCUCAGAGUCGUCAGAAGUCCUACGCCGAUGUUAAGAGAAGAGAUCUAGAGUUUGAGGUUGGAGAUUGGGUGUUUCUCAAGGUUUCUCCCAUAAAGGGAGUCAUGUGAUUCGGGAAGAAAGGUAAGUUGAGUCCUCGCUAUAUAAGUUCAUAUCAGAUUGUGAGAAGGAUAGGUGGAGUUACGUAUGAGCUAGAAUUGCCAGUUAGUUUAGGUUCGAUUCAUCCGGUAUUUCAUAUAUCUAUGUUGAAGAAGUGUAUUGGAGACCAUUCUUUAGAAUUGCCUGUCGAAGAAAUCCAAGUGACAGACUCCUUAUCCUAUGAAGAAGAGCUUAUAGAGAUUUUGGAUUGCCAAGUUAGAAAAUUGAGGAACAAAGAGAUAGCCUCAGUUAAAGUGUUAUGGAGAAACCAGAAAAUUGAAGAAGCAACUUGGGAAUCAGAAGUUGACAUGAGAGCUAGAUACCCAAACUUUUUUAUCCAAUGGAUGACGAAAUGGAAGGUACAAUACUUGCCUUAUUCUUUCUAUACCUUAUUAUGCUUGAAAUUAUACUUGUCUGUAUCCCGCGUCAACAUUUGGGGACGAAUGUUCCCAAGGGGGGGAUAUUGUAAUGCCUCAAAAUUUUUCUUAGCUAAAUUUUGUCCUUAAAAAAUCAAGAAUUUUCUUCUAGAAUGAUUUAUACUUAUUUCCUUGUGUAAUCCCUUAUAUUUUAACUUUUCAUUUUGUAGAUGACUGAAUAACCUUUCCAUCGAUAUAAGAUUUUUCCAAAACGGACACUCGGUGAAGAAGUUAUGGCUAUUUUAUGUGCUAGUCAUAAAACAUCGUCAUUCUGGUGUUUAGCGCGUCGUGGAGAGGGUUUAAUUAGCAAUUUUUAAAUUCCAGUGGGACCUCGCGAUAGUGGCGCAUCUCGGAGGAUCCCAAAUUCCCAUUCGUCAAUUUCCAGUGAGCCACCACGAUAGUGGCGCGCCGCAGUGGCCCAUAAAAUUGGGUUCCCAUUUUAAUUUUUUCGAUCUUCGUUCAAAAGUUAACAAGGGUAAUUUGGACUUUUUCCAAGCCUCUUAAAAUGUCCAAACAAUAGAUUAAGACCUUUACAAGCAGAAUAUAUGACAUUCUCAAGAUUUUUCUCAAAACAAAAAACCUAGUUCAUAUACUUCUCCUCCAAGAAACUCAAGAUUCAACCGCGGAUUUUCAAAAUUGACUGAAGAUUUGGAAUCCUCAAACCGUAGGCUUAAAGGAUCAUCCCUUAUUCUUCGUAAUCAAGGUACGUGGGGUUUAUCCUAAAAACUACAUGGGCUUAAAAUUGUUAAAGCAUGAUUUAAAGGUUUUGAUGGAUGUACUUUAUGGGGGUUUUGAAAACUAUAUUAUUGAUUAUCCAUUUCGAAAGUUUCUAUGUUACUAUUUCUUUGGCCUUGUGGUAUUUUCCCCUAAAUUGAUUUACAUAUAUAUAUAUAUAUACAUAUAUAUGUGUAUAUAUAUAUAUGUAUAUAUAUAUGUAUAUAUAUAUAUAUGUAUAUAUAUAUAUGUGUAUGAAUUUGAGAUUGUUGAGAGCAUAAAUUAUGAACUCCCCCUCUUGUAUUGAAUUAAAGAUUAUGGUUUUGUGAUUUGAAAGAUGCUUUUGCAAUAUCCUGGCAUUUGAACAUGAUUUGGAAUUGUUGAGAGGGUGUUUCUUGAUAUCAAUAUGUUCUUGUGUGUUUAAGAAAGAAUUGCAUGUGUUUACAUAAGGUUUGAAAAAAAAAAAGAUUCAUUGAAUUGAAUUAUUGAAAUGCUGGUCUCAAAAUUUAUGUUUUGAAUAUGGAGAUUUAUGAUAGACUAAUAAUGGCUCAGAGAUGUGACUUUCAAGUCAAUGGUAUGACGAUACCAUAUGUAUUUAUGCCAUACCAGAUUAUGUUUUCAAAACAUGUUUUCAGAGUAUGUUUUCAGAGAUUGUAUGUUUUGAUAGAGUUUUAAAAAAGGGCUUAAAGAGGGUUAGGUGGUAACCCGAAGAACGCGCGAGUUCAAGAAACUCUUAGCCUGAAACCGUAUUUGCCGAUAUGGGUAGAUUAUUAUUGUAUACUGGCGACGGCCGUGUGGCAUAGUAGAUUCAGAGACUCUGACCCUUGCAGCACACUUGAGUUGGGGGCUUUGCUGCCGAGUUAAUGGCAGUUUCCAUAUAGCCCAUGGAAUUUUUUAGAGUUGUAGGGUAUACCACCAAGCGCAGAAGUAACACAGAUUUCUCAGAGCUGAGAUGAUUUUUACAAAGUCUUUAAAAUGCCCAUGUGAAUUCUUCCUACAUGAUAUACUCAUGAACUGUUUUAAAUUACUUUCAUAUAUGUUGAUUUAUAAAUGAUUAUUUUGGAUAUGCUCUGCGUACUAGUACAUCUGUAUUGACCCCCUCCCCCUACCUCUCAGGUUCUGAGACUCAGUAUAGGGGUCCAAAUAAGCAUUAGAUAAUUCAGACAGCUGAUCACAUUGUGCAGUGGUGAGCCUUCUCUAUUCCAGAAGGCCUGUCUUCUCAGAUUAUGUCACUUAUUUUAGUUUUGGUCUACUGGGGGACUUGUCCUAGUUUCAGACAGUUGUCAGAUUUCAUGUAGUAGAGAUUUUACAGACUAAGUCAGAUGUAAUUUAGAUGUAUUUGAUUUACAGUUUCCAUACUUAUGUUGAAUUCAGAGUUGACCAUGUUUUCGUAGCAGAUUAUGUUUCCGUAUCUUCUUAAUUAUAUGAAUGUUGUGCAUGAUUACCAUAUAGAGAAGACGUUCCGGCCUUCAUGGUUCUGGAUGUCCAUAAUGGCCAGGUCCUAGUUCGGGUCGUGACAUAUAUAUAAAUACGAAAGUAGACAUGCAAUUCAACAUUUCAGUUACUUGUAGGAUCAUAAUCUUUAAUUAACAAUAUUUGGGUAUGAACCCUAAUUUAAAACUCAUGUAAAUUCAUGUGAAAAUAACUUCAAAAACUAAUUUUGGACACAUGGAUGAAAGAAUUAUCCUUGUUGAAAACUCCAUAUACCUUAAUUGAUGAAUAGAUGAAGAAGCUCGAACUUUGAGUUCCUAUUUGUGCUCUUGAAGAUUUUUUCUUAAAGAUCUUGAAUUGAGAAUCUUGAAUCUUGGGUUAUCUUUGAAAAAAAGAGGUGGAAUUUGAACUUCUUAAGGUUUGAAAUUUGAAGUUCUAGGGUUUGUUGGAGAGUAAUUUUGAUGAAAAUCAGCGUAUAAUGCUUAGAAUAGUUUUAAGAUAGUGUUUUACAUGAUUUGGGGGCUUGGGAAAUGACUAGGUUUCCCUUUGGAAAAUUUAAUUCGGAACUAAAAAUCUCAAUUUUGCACUCCACCACAAUGUGGCGCCAUCGUUGUGGCUUAUUGGAAAAGGGACGAGUGCCAUUUUGGGCUCUGGCACUAUGCGAUGUAAUCGCAUUGUGUCACUAGAAAAAAUCGAGUUCCAUUUUGCUCUCCACCACGAUGCGGUGCUAUGCUCCACUGCGAUUUCUGGUGCGACACUGGCCAAUUAUGGUGAGCUAAUGGAAAGGGACAAAUGAGAUUUUGGUGCUCACUGUGACACGACAUAAUCACGGUGCUUCACUAGAAAGAGGACAAUUGCAAAUCUGCACUUCACCGGGACACGGUGCUAUCGCAGUGAACUACUUCUUUUCACUAAAAGCACCAUAACUUUCCACCCGAGUAUCGGAUUUAGGCAAAAUUGUUAUUGUUGGAAAGAUGAGCCAAUUAUCUACACAUUGGUGGGUCUAGAACUGGAAAAUUCUAUAUGUAUCAUGACUUAUUCAUUUUCAAAUCCAAACCUUGAUAUUCUAGGAGCUAAACUGAGCUAGGAAAAAGUAUGGGGUAUUACAAUAUCUCCCUUUGGGAACAUUCAUCCUUGAAUUUGGCUAGUUACACUGAAGAUACUGAGGGACUGAGGCUAUAUGAUGGCAUGCACAAUUGAAAUGAGCUGUAUGACUGAAUCUAAAACAUACUGAGUGACUGAACUAAUCUAUGAAUACAUGAUUUGAUAUGAAGAUAACUAUAUAGCUGAAUCUGAGACUGGAAAAGAAUUGAAUUAAGGAAGACUGUUACCUUCAGAUGAAUUUGAGUUCGUGAAGAAAAGGUAAGGAUACUUGGUACGUAUGUUUGCUUCUAUUUCCCAAGUAGCACUCUCAAUGGAUUGAUUUCGCCACAAAACUUUGACCAAAGGAACUUCUUUGUUUCUUAGUCUACGGAUCUGAUGAUCAAGAAUCUCUAAUAGAAGUUCUUCAUAUGAAAGGCUAUUUUGAAUGUCUGUGCUGUCUAGAAGGACUACAACAAUUGAAUCAUCUAUGCACUUCUUCAAUAAGGAUGCAUGGAAUACUGGGUGAACUGAUGACAAGUCUGUAGGUAGCUCAAGAUCAUAUGCUACCUUACNNNNNNNNNNNNNNNNNNNNNNNNNNNNNNNNNNNNNNNNNNNNNNNNNNNNNNNNUCUUUACCCCCUUCAUGGGUGAAACCUUUAAAUAUAUAAGAUUAUCUUCUUCAAACUUAAGAUCUCUCAUUCUUAAGUCUGCAUAAGAUAUCUGACGACUCUGAGCUUCUUUCAAUCUCUCUCAAAUCAACUGAACUUUCUCCAUGGCUUUAAACAUCAUAUCUGGCCCAAUCAAAGUGGCCUUACCCACUUCAAACCAAUCGAUGAGUGAUCUAUAUCUCCACCCAUACAAAGUCUCAAACAGGGCCAUUUGAAUACUAGAAUGGUAACUUUUAUUGUAGAGAAACUCGAUCAACGGUAAGUGGUCAUCCCAACUACCUUUGAAAUCAAUAACACAUGCUCUCAACAUAUCCUCUAAGGUAUGAAUGGUCCUCUCUACCUGACCAUCUGUCUGCGGGUGAAAAGCUGAACUGAGAUGAACUUUGGUACCAAGACCCUUCUGAAAGUCUUUUCAAAACUGAGUACCCCUAUUUGAGAUGAUGGACAAGGUGUAAGACUCUGUAAAAGUUCUAGUCUAGUUCAGUCCUAUAUAGCAUGAAAAGAGGUCCUAGACUUAGAAAAAUUCAGCUAAGUAUUGACACUUAGUUUCUUUUUGUGCUCGAUAUUUCAAUGACUUUAUUUUUUGAUCUUUCCAGCCUUGGAUUGUUGAUUUUUUAGUAGAUUCAUGACCAGGGAUGUUAAUAGGUCAUAUCAGGUGAGCUUCGGAAUUUUUGGACUAGCGUAAAGGUGAGUUUGGAUGUCCAAAAUAGUAAGGUUUUGCGAUAGACUCGCAACGUGAGAUCCAUUCCCCAUUUAUGGGAGUCACAUUGCGAGGUUCUUUCCCCAUUUCUAGGAGUCGCGUCGCGAGAUGCAUUCUCCAUUUCUGGGAGUCGCAUCGCGAGGUCCUUUGCUCAUUUCUGGGGAUCGCGCCUCAAAGGUUAUUUGCAUGAGAAAAGAUACCUAGGGGUAGUUUAGUCCUUUUUGCCUCACCCAAUUCAGCUAUAACACGAAAUUUAAAACCCAAUAGGGCAAAUUACAUUCAUUAUUCACUCAAUCCUCUCAAGAACAAGCCCUAUAUUCUUCAAGUCAAGUCCAAGUUCCAAGAAAUCCCCUAUAAUCUUCAGUAAAAUCAAUGAUCAAGGUAUGUUAAGUAUUCAUCCUUGGGUUUCCUUCUACCCUUAGAGUUCAAGAACCCUUUUUAAAACUACAAGUUUAUUGAAUCAUGAAUUUACCUAUGCAAAUUUGGGUUGUAUUUAUGUUUGUGUUGUUGUAUAGGUUUUAAUUCAAGAUUUUGUUAUGAGUUUCAUGAUCCUAAUAUAGCAUGUAUGUUGAUUGGUGUAAUUCCCAUGUUACAAUCCUUGAAAUUAAAAGUUUAAGUUGUAGUCAUGAUUCUUAUGUGUUGUUCAUUAUUAUGUAUAACAAUCAUGCUCCCCAAGUGUUUGAUAGAAUGUCCAUGUAAAUUGAAUAAUAUAAUCAUGACAUGUUAGUAUGUGUUCUCAUUCAUGUAUAAGUUCAUGGCCUUCAAGUGUUUGGCAAAUUGACUCAGUGAAUGAAUUGUGAACAAUUGACUAUUGGUAUGCUUUCAAGAAGUUCUAUAUUUACCUUUAUGCUAUCGAGUCCUGGGGGUAUUUAUUACUCGAAUUCUAGAUUUUUAAUUAGUUGUAGUAGAAAUAGAAUAGACCUAAUAAAAAUGUCAAGAAUAGUAGUACUCAGUCCAGUUCAGCCAGUCAACACGAUCAGUGUUAGUUUAGUCAAGCUUAGUACAAUCUAGUGAUUAGUGUCUAUUCAGUUGGGAGUAGGAUUCAACACCGAAUGAACGCAGGGAUGGGGGCAUUACUCAGGGAUGGGGUAUUCCUGCCAGUAGAGGGUUUGACCCUUAGUAGCAGUCUCUGUGUAAUAGAACUACGUAGCCAGCGUAGGGUAAGACGUCCUUAUUCCAGACUAGGGUUGACACAAUCAUAUAUAUAUUCAUAAGUCUUCCAGCCAAAUUAGGGUUAACCCAUCAUUGUUAGUAUCCCUUGGAAAGGUGUUAACACCCUUCUAAAUGAGGUCACAGUUUGGACCCCAACUUAGUUUAUAAUCGGGGUAUGUCGGUUAGAUGAACACUCCCAUAGUUACAGUUUUAGUUUCAGACUCAGUAUAGAACUCAGUUCAGUUCUACAGAAUCAGGACUGUCAAAAACAGUCACCUAAUAUCAGUAAUACAAUUAUUAAUAAACUCAGAUACCAGUUACUCAAUUAUCAAAACUCAGUAUUUAGUUUUAGUAUGAUCUCAGUUAUAGUAUACAUGUAUAUAUACAGUCUUGCAUAAUUAGUAUGUACAACAGUUUCAAUUACCCAUGUACUCUCAUUCAGUUAUAUACAUAUCAUUUAGUAAGUUAUUAUUCAUACAUAUGAACCCAUGUAUACAACCUACCUUAAUUAGCAUACCAAUACAUUCAAAGUAUUGAUGCAUACUCUUUCUUUUACAUUAUGAUGUCUCAUAUCAUAGGUUCAGACACAUGGGCUCCUGAUCAUACCUAACAGCUCAGGUUAUCAACAACAGAUAUAGUGGUGAGUCCUUAUAUUUUGAGGACAGAGUUAUUUAUAUCAGUAUUCUAGCUAGUUCAGUAGUCAAAGUUAGUUGGGGACUUGUCCCAUCAACUCCACAUUCAGACUGUUCAGCUAGAGUCUUUUCAGACUAGACUAUUUCAGACAGAUAUUCUGUUUUUCAGUAUUACAUCAAUAUUUAGUAUUUAUUUUAGUAUUCAAAUUAUGAACCUUAUGGCAUUUUAGCCUUACUUCUAUAUUAUUUCAGUAUUAUCAUUCAGUCCUCUUAGCAGGUUCCAGUCAUGGGUUAGCUUGUGGUCCUUUGGGAUUGUAAGCACCAUGUGACAUCCAGGGUACAGACUCGAGGCAUUACACAAGGAAACUCAGUGUAAUCUAACUAACUCUCUGAUAUAUAACUUAGCAUAAUCUUCAACUGUGUAGGACCUGUGAACUAGCAAGAAGUGGGCUAAUUUGGUCAAUCUGUCUAUAAUAACCUAAAUCAAAUCAUGUUGUCGACGCGAAUGGGGUAACCCUAUCACAAAGUCCAUAUUCACCUCUUCCCACUUCCAAGUAGGAAUACCAAACUCCUACAAUGUGCCACCAGGUCUUUGGAGCUUUACCUUAACCUGUUGACAAAUUGCAUACUUGUCUACAAAUUCUGUGAUAUCUUUCAUCAUAUUAUUCAACAAUAGACUUCCCGCAAAUUGUUGUACAUCUUGGUGGAUCCUGGAUGAAUGGAAUAACCCACACCAUGCGCUUCUACCAUAAACCAUUGCCUCAAAUCGUCAACACAUGGCACACAUAAUCUACUAUAGUAUCUCAACACAUCAUCUCCCCCUUGGGAAUAAACCUCUACCUUUUAGUUAUUAAAUGACCCCUUCAGUUUGACCAAACUAGAAUCCUUAUCCUACUUCUCUUUCACUUCAGAAACUAGAGAAGAUUCUGAACUACUCUAGUCCCCAAUAUUCCCUUCAGCUAAGUCAAACAACCUCACACCCAAUCUAGCUAAUCGGUGACCUUCUCAAACUAAUUCUCUCUUGUCAUUCUCUAUAUGAGUAACACUGCCCAUAGACAAUCUACUAAGGGCGUUUGCCACUAUAUUGACCUUGUCCAAAUGAUACAACACACUCAUAUUAUAAUCUUUCAACAAUUCUAACCACCUUAUCUGAUGAAGAUUUCACUCCCUUUGAGUAAAUACAUAUUGCAAGCUUUUUUGAUCCGUGAAUACAUCAACAUACACCCCAUAAAGAUAGUGCCUCCAAAUUUUCAAUACAAAUACAACAGAAGCUAACUCAAGGCCAUGGGUAGGGUAGUUCUUUUGUGAGGCUUGAGAUGUAUAGAGGUAUAGGCUAUAACCUUACCUCACUACAUCAAAACAUAACCCAUACUAAUUCUAGAAUCAUCACAAUAGACAAUAAAACCAUCUAUACCAUCAGGUAGCGCUAAAACUGAGGAUGAAGUGAGUCGACUCUUCAACUCCUAAAAACUCUUCUCACAAGCAUUUGAACACUGAAACUUAACUUUCUUUUGGGUAAAUCUAGAAAUAGGGGACACAAUAGACAAAAUACCCUCAAUAAAAUAUUUGUAUAGCCUGCUAAACCCAAGAAACUUCUGAUGUCUGAUAAAGAGAUAGGUCUAGGCCAGUUUCUUACUGCUUCUAUCUUCUGGGGAUUAAUUCUAAUGCCAUCACUGGAAAAAAUAUGACCGAGGAAAGCUACUGAUCUUAUCCAAAAUUCACAUUUGCUAAAUUUGGCGAACAACUGGUGAUCUCUAAAAGUUUGCAACACAAUUUUAAGAUGGUCUGCAUGGUCAUCCUCACUAUGAAAAUAGACAAGAAUAUCAUCAAUAAAGACUAUGAAAAACAUAUCUAAAUACUAUUUGAACACUCUGUUCAUCAAGUCCAUGAAGUUUACUGGGGUAUUUGUCAACCCGAAGGACAUGACUAGAAACUCAAAAUGACCAUAACGGGAUCUGAAAGUUGUUUUUGGAAUAUCACAUUCCCCUACUCUAAGCUUUUGAUAGCUGGAUUCUAUCUUGGAGAAGUAACUUGUACCUUGGAUUUGGUCAAAAUAAGUCAUCAUUCCUAAGAAGAGGUAUUUGUUUUUAAUUGUGAUCUUAUUCAGCUGAUAAUAGUCAAUGCAUAUUCUUAAAGAACCAUCUUUCUUUCAUACGAAUAGGAUGGAAGUGCCUCAUGGAGAGACACUGGGCCUUAUGAAACCUUUAUCUAAGAGAUCUUUAAGCUGCUCUUUUAACUUCUUAAUCUCGGCUAGAUCCAUAUGAUAUGGAGGAAUGCAGAUGGGCUGAGUAUCUGGAAGAAGAUCAAUACCAAAUUCUAUUUCCCUAUUGGGAGGUACCCCUGGCAAAUCUUGGGAAAAACUUCAAAAAAAUCAUUGACUACAUGGACUGACUGAACUAUUGGAGCCUCAGACUUAGUGUCUUUGACUCAAACUAGAUGAUAGAUACACCCUUUUGAGAUCAACUUCCUGGCUUUAAGAUAGGAUAUAAAAUGAUUCUAGGGAGACACUGAAUUACCUUCCCACUCAAAGACUGUAUCAUUUGGAAAUUAAAACCUCACCACUCGGGUGCGACAAUCUAUAGAUGCAUAAUAGGAAUGGAUCCAAUCCAUGCCCAGAAUAAGGUCAAAGUCAACCAUAUCUAACUCUACUAAGUCUUCUAACAUGAUCUUAUGAAGAAUAGUAAUAGGGAACUUUCUAUAGACUUGUUCAACAACAACUGACUCACCUACUGGGGUAGAAAAUAAGAAGGUCUUAGGGAGCUUUUUAGGACCUACUUCAAAAUUUACUGUAACUAGUGGGGUCACAUAAGAGAGAUUUGACCUUGGAUCUAACAACACAUAGACAUCAAGAUGAAAGACACGAAGCAUACCAGUAACAAUAUCUGGUGAACUAUUCUGCUCCUGAAGGGAUAGUAAAGCAUAAAACUAAUUCUGGCACUGACUGCCACCAGUACUGGAUGAUGUAUCCUGAGGAGGACUGGCAACCUAGAGGAGCUGGUGCGCUAAUAGCUUGAGUCUGGGGAUGAACAUCCAUAUUUUCCUGCUUAGCAUGAGGACACUCUUUGAUUCUAUUACCCAACCUACCACAACUAUCAUAACCUUUCUGUCUUAACAAACACUCACCGAGAUAAUUCUUACCAUACUUAGCACAUAAAGGAUAACUGGGGUUUCCACUCUUACUAUUCUGAGAUCUAGAAUAGAAGUCUUACCCCACUACUCCUACCUAGCUCUGGGGGUGGGAACACUAGUUGAAGAUAUCACUAGCAUAGAUGAGCGACUUUAAAACUGCAAAUAAUUUCCCCCUCUAAACUUUGUAUGGCCAUAAUUAAACUGGCCAAUUCUAGCCUUUUUAUUUUCUCACUCUCUCUCUCCCCUUCAACUUUUUUGCCUUAGUCUAUUGAGCAUGAAUCAUUAGCCUAUCAAAAUCCAUAUCCUCUAUAAGCAUCUCUGUGCCUACCAAACCAGCUACACCAGUAACAAACUUACUCAUACUCGACCUAGAGCCAACCGUCAUAUUAGGGGAAUACUUAGACAACUGGUUGAACUUAAGUCGGUACCUUUUCACUUUUAUCGAGCCCUGCCUCAGGUUCACAAACUCCUCUACCUUAUCUUCUAUUAUCUUAUGUGGAAAGAACCUAUCUAGAAAUGCGUCUUAGAAUACCUACCAAAUCAUAAGAGCUGCAUUCUCCCUCUACCAUCUUCCACAUAACUACCCAAUCAUACACCACAUCUUUCAACCUUUAGGAUGACAACUUUGCACUCUCCUCCUCAGUAAUAUGCAUAAUCUAAGUGAUCUUUCUUGUCUUAUCUAAGUAAAGUUAUGGGUCCUCACCUACUUUUGAUCAAAAGAACUCAGGUGCAUUCAUUCUCAUGAAGUCACAAAUUUUGGAUGCUGCUAAAUCCCUAUUCUGUUGAAGAAGGACAGUCUCUUGAUGGUUUUCCUGAACAUUGGCAGUCACAGCUUGGGCUAACACCUGAAAGGUAGCCCAAAAUUUAGCAUGGGAUACAUUCUUAUUUAGAGGUUCAGUAGGCUGGGGUGGCUGAUUAUUAUUUUUGUAUGCAUUAGCCCAGGGAGGAGGCAUAUUCAGUUGUUAUGUACGAGCAUGAAUUAAAAGAAGAUAGAUACACUAUAAGCACGAUAGAUCAUGAAAGAAAAGGAUGAUUUCAUAAAAUGUCUCGUAGCCUCUUUCUCAUAAAUGUAGUGCGCUUCACACCCAUGGUCAAGACUCUACGUAACAUGACUUGUCUGACUCCUUAGGACUCUUAUAACCUUAGGCUCUGAUACCAAGUUUUUAACGCCUUAAAAAUAGGUCCCGAGAUGUCACACGAUUCUCAAGACUACGAGUAGCCUCAAGCUAACCUUGUAAGCCUUCCACUAAAUUUGAAACUCAUAAUGGAGAAAUAUAAACAUAAAAUCAAUGAAAAAUUCUGUCUGAUCUAAGCUGAAAUUAUCCAAACCUAAUAUCUGAAAUUAUUAGACUCAAAAGACUGGAAAAUCAAUACUGAAAAUUAGAAUUUUAAUUAGCAGUCUAACAAGUCUCUACUACUAACAACUAGAAAGACACUGGGACAAGCCCUAAACUGAUUCAAACUAAUUGAAAAUACUAAAUCAACUAUUGUAAUAAGCUAGAAAAUCUGAAUAACUGGGUCUCCAAACUAUGAGGAUUCACCAACUAUUGAGAUGUAGAUGGAGAUGCUCGAAAUCACUCACUAUGCUGAAACUGAACACCUGAACCUACAUUAUGAAACAAUGAGGAUCAGUCUUCUAGAAUGUACUCAUCAUAUGAGGGUGAAUGCAUAAGUACAACAGUGAGGAACUAUAUAUAUUUUUCUCAUAAACAAUGCAUGUUGAGUAAUAAUGGCUCACUUAGGCUUGAGUAAUUGAAAACUGUAAUCAUAGAUCAUGAAUGAUAAAACAUACUAAAUGAAUGUUGUGAGCCACUACACUUAGUUCUAAAUGUGUGCUUGAAAUCUUUUUUCAAAUGUAAAGGACUCACCUCUGCAUCUGUAAUUAAAAGUUGAAAUCUAGUAGCUAAUGACUUAUAUAAAACAAUAUCUGAAUAAAUUUGUGAGCCUUUACACUUAGUUUCUAAAAGCUUUUCUAUUAUUCUUUUAUGUUAGGAUUACUCUUUUUUAUAGGGAAGUUCUUCUAACCGACAUACACUAUGUGAGCUAUCAUAGUGUCCAACAUCUAGUUCCUUUAUGGGAAAACCUCACAUUGGGGAGAAGUGUCAUAAUCUUGCCAAGGAGUAUAACUUAAGUUAAGUGAUCACAUCUGUAACUGUCAUCCAUAUAGAAAUGUAAAUAAUCUGAUAAUCUGAACCUACGUUGGCUCGUAGUUCUAGGGCAUGUAAAUAUACCUAACUCGGUGCUAAAUAGUACUCUCUUUAAUCUGUGUGCUUAUUCUGUAGGAAAUCCACUUUUAAAACUAGUAUAAGGGUUUACAAUAAAAACCAACCAUGCAUCUUUUCACUAUAAACAUUAAGGAAACUAUAAAGUAGAUUCCAUAUCUAAGCUGAGGAUCAAAAAGAUCAAAUCUUGUUGAAAAUCUAGAUAUAAAUAAAUUAUGGGAUGCUUAAAAGCAUAAUUUUGUUGAAGUAUCAAUAUUCAAACUAGGGCUUAGUAACCCAUGCUUCUAAUUCAUGUCAAUCAUCAUAAAGUUCAUGCAAAAUAAUGAAAUCUUGAUAAUUCAAUUCUAAAUCUGGAAAAAUAAUGUCACAUGCAUAUAAAUACGAAAGAAGACAUGCAAUUCAACAUUUAAAUCACUUGUAGGAUCAUAAUCUUCAAUUAAGCAUAUUUGGGUAUGAACCCUAAUUUGAAACUCAUGUAAAUUCAUGUGAAAUUAACUUCAAAAACUAAUUUUAGACACAAGGAUGAAAGAAUUAUCCUUAUUGAAAACUCCACAUACCUGAAUUGAUGAAUAGAUAAAGAAGCUUGAACUUUGAGUUCCUAUUUGUGCUCUUAAGGAUUGUUUCUUAAAGAUCUUGAAUUGGGAAUCUUGAAUCUUGGGUUAUCUUUGAAAAAGAAUGGUGGAAUUUGGACUUCUUAAGGUUUGAAAUUUGAAGUUCUAGGGUUUCUUGCUGAGUAAUUUUGACGAAAAUCAGUGUAUAAUGCCUAGAAUAGGUUUAAACUAGUGUUUUACAUGAUUUGGGGACUUGGAAAAUGAUUAGGUUGCCCUUUCAAAAAUUAAGUUCGAAACUGGAAAUCCCAAUUUUGUACUCCACCACGAUGAGGCGCCAUCGCGGUGGCUUACUGGAAAAGGGACGAGUGCCAGUUUUGGGCUCUGGCGCGACGUGACGUAAUCGCUUUGCGUCACUGAAAAAGGACGAGUGCCACUUUGCACUCCACCUCGAUGUGGUGCUAUGCUCCACCGUGAUUUUUGGUGCGACACUGGUCAAUUGUGGUAAGCUACUAGAAAGGGACGAAUGCCAUUUUGGUGUUCACCGCGCCAUGAUAUAAUCAUGGUUAGGGGUGUUCAUGGGUCGGUUUGGGUCGGUUAUUGGUCAAAACCAUAACGAAACCAACUUAGUCGGUUUUUAAAUUUCUAAAACCAAACCAAACCAAAAAAAAAUAAUCAUCGGUUUGGUUCUUGUCGGUUUAGUUCGGUUUGGUUCGGUUUUUCCGGUUUAUAACUUUAGCUAAUGAUAAAAGUUGAAGAUUUAAAAAAAAACAAAUUCAACCUAACAUAUGAGAUGUCUACUGAGUGUUAUACUUCAGUAAAGCCAUGAAUAACACCAUAUGAAUACUUCUAAAAAAAUAUUUAAAAACUACAUCUAACAGAAUGAUAUGAUAAACUCCGUAAAAGGUGAACAUAUAAACUUCUUGCUCGACAAGGUUCAAAAAGAAAGUUAAAAUUAGUGAUUGUCUAUAGUCUAAUGAAUCUUAGCUGUAAAUUUCAAUAUACAACAAGAUAUUAUUUUCAAAAUUAGUAUUAUUUGUUAUUCAAAGUGCAAAAUUAAUUUAGAAUCUCAUAAGGUACUGUCAACUGGAUGAAGAUAUAUGACUGAAUGUAUUAUGACUAAAGUUAAAUCAUGAUUAAAAUAUAAAAUGUAACAAAUAUUUAUAUUCUAUUUAUGAAUAAUAUAUAAAUAAUUAUAAUAUAUAUAUAUAUACACACACACACACACAUAUAUAUAUAUAUAUUUCGAUUCGGUUUGGUUAUUUCGUCGGUUAUUUUAGAGUAAAAUCAAACCAAACCAAAUUAGUAUUGAUUUUCUUAAAAUUCAAAACCAAACCAAACCAAACCUAACCAAAUAUCAGAUUUUUUAAUCGGUUUGGUUUGGAUCGAGGUUAGAUUUGGUUUUUAACCAAACUGUGAACACCCCUAAUCGUGGUGCUUCACUAGAAAGAGGACAAUUGCUAAGCUGCACAUCACCGCGAUACGAUGCUAUCGUAGUGAACUACUGCUUUUCACUAAAAGCGCUAUAACUUCUCACCUAAGUAUCGAAUUUAGGCGAAAUUGAUAUUGUUGGAAAACUAGUUCAAUUAUCUACAAUUUGGUGGGUCUAGAGAUGGAAAAUUCUACACGUAUCAAGAGCUAUUUACUUUUAAAUUUGACCCUUGACACACUAGAAGCUAAACGGGACUAAGAAAAGUACGAGGUAUUACACACUCCUUCCCUCCAACUAACAAUACUUGUAUGUUAAUUACUUGAGACACAAGUUAAUAAAUACAAAAUAAUAGGGGUAAUUUUAUCAUAUCGCCCUUUGAAUAUAAUAGGAGUAAAAUGGAUAGAAAGAGGUAAAUUAUCCAUUGAUUUUUCAAACUGAAUAAAUAUUGUUUGGCAUGUAAAUGAAUGGAGAAAGUAGUAAAGGUAGAAAUAUAUCAUUUUUUAGACCGAUUAAAAAGAAAUGUGAUCCUUAUAAAUUGGGACAAAAGGGAGUAAUAUUUAUACUCACUAUGUACCAAUUUAAAUGUCUUAAUUUUCUUUUUACCAUCGCAAAAAAGCGUCUCUAUCUAUAUUUAGUAAGUUUUACAUCAUUCCUACAAAUUUAAGAUCAUAAAAUUUUAAAAAUAAUACAUGUCUUUGAUUCUUUUAAAUAUCACAAGAUUCAAUCAAAACUAAGAGUAGUAUGUUUUUUCUAAAACUAGUUUAGUGUACGUACUUUGCACGCGUGUCUCACGUGCAUUAGUUAAUAUAUUUUAUUCACAAACUUAUAUUUCAAAUUUGUAAUAUGAUUUUAUACAAGAACUACAUUAUUAAAAAAGUUUGACAUUAAAAUAAAUGUUUUGUUUAUUUAAAUGCUAUGUAAAUAAUAUUAUAUCUCAAAUAUAUUAUGUUUCUCACUUGAUCUUUUUUUUUUCUUUUUUUGUUGCUAUGAUUGUUUUAUCAUGAAAAAAAAUUAAAAUUGUAACUUCUGUUAUAGAAGUUUUAAUACAGACAAAAAGGGGAUUCAUAAAUUAAAAACAAUUUAAUUUUUGAUUCAUAUAUAAUUUGUAUUAGAUUUUUAAUGCAUUAUUCGUACGUUGAUUUUUAUAUGGUAGGAAAUUUUAUUUGCCAAAAUUAACGAUAGUAAACCAAAAGCUAUAUGAAUUUUUUUGGUUAUAUAUAUAUAUAUAUAUAUAUAUAUAUUGCUUUACGAAAAAAGCUAACAAAUUUAUAUUUAGGAAAUGCUUUAUUACCAUCUUGAAAUAUACGUGAAAAGGCUGAGACACACCCAAACUUUAGGAGGGUCCUAUUACCCCCUGGACCAAUAAAAUCAUAUUUUUUACAACCUUAGUGUCUACGUGGUACACACGUGUGCCUACGUGGACCCUUCAGUGUGUUGUGCCACGUAGGCACUAAGUUUGUCAAAAAUACGAUUUUAAUUACUCCAGGGGCGUAAUAGGACCCUCCUAAAGUUCGGGUAUGUCUCAGCCUUUUCCGCGUAUAGUUCAAGGUGGUAAUAGAGUAUUUUCUCUUUAUAUUUUUAGCUGAACAUAUUUCAACUAAUUGACUUUCUUUCUUUAUAUAUAUAUNNNNNNNNNNNNNNNNAUAAUCUAUAAUAUAUUAAAAGUGUGAAGACCCUUAGAAAAGUGAUUUGAUCUUUUUACUCUUCAUUAAAAUACUCCACAACAGACAAAAUCACCAUUUACUCAAUUAUAUAAAAAAUUUAUUUAAUUUAAAUAAUAUAAGCAUACAAAGUUGAAUUAAAAAAGGAAAUAAAAAAUGUCUUAAAAAGAAAAAAAAAUUAAGCCUUAAAAAAGAAGGUCAAGCUAUUUAUUGAAUUAAAUAAGUAAAAGGAAAGAAUAAAAAGUUAGUGAAAAAGGAUAGCAGGACACCAAAAAAGGAGGAAAUAAAAAACGUCUUAAAAAGUAAAAACAAAAUUAAACCUUAAAAAAAAGGCCAAGCUAUUUAUGGAAUUAAAUAAGUAAAAGAAAAGAAUACAAAGUUAGUGAAAAAGGACACCAAAAGAAACAUAUACAAAUUUCAAGUUAAAAAGGAUUUUAGGCGGGGUUGUAAUACCCCGUAUUUUCGUACUAGAAUUCUAACCAUCAUUCCUGCACGUCUGAGCUCUAAUCCAAAUGAUUUCCUUGUGAAUAUAAGUUUCACGAUCAUUAUCAUAGUCUAUGAAGUGGUUUAGAGGUCAAAAAUGUUCAUAGCAAUGACUUUGAACAAAGUUGAGCUAAGAUCAUUUGAUUCGUUCAACAUUUGGUGUUUGAUUCUACAAGGGUCUAAUUUAAAUGUGUAUAACUUUUUAUAUAUGUAGAAUUUUUCAUCUUGAGACCCAUCAAAUUUUAGAUAAUUGAAUUAGCUUUCCAACAAUAUCAAUUUCACAAAAAUCUGAUAAACUAAUAAAAAGUUAUGGCAUUUUUUUGUGAGGCAGUAAACCGACGUGAUCUUGAAGCGUCGCGUCGACUUCGCCUCAACACGAAAAACUGACGUGGGUCCAAAGCUAUUUUACAUGGUAAUUCAAUUCUAAAAGGGCCGAGGGUCACUUUAGUCAAUUCCUCUCACCCAAAUCCGUCCAAAACACAUAAUUUCACCCCCAAAGAAGCAAAGAUACCUCAUUAUUCAUCUUUUCAUCUCAAAUAGUAAAACUCUAAGGCUCAUACUUUCUUUCUAAGAAACCCAAGAUUUCUCCGUUAAUUCUCCAAGAUAACUCAAGAUUAAGGUUUCUCAAUACAAGAACUCCAAGAACUCAUCUUCAAAAGCAUCAUAGGAAUCCAAGAUUCAAGCUUUCUCAUUUAAGAUCGUCAAUUAAGGUAUGUGGGGUUUGAACAAGAGAAAUCCUUUCAUUCUUGUGCCCAAAUACUUGAAUUUUAUUAAAGAUUUUAUGAUUUGCAUGUUGGGGUUUACACCCAAAUCAUCUUGUUUUAAGGUUAUGGGAUUAUAAGUGAUUUAAACCUUGAAUUUGUAUGUUUAUCCCAGCUAUUUAUGCUUUGAAUUGAGAAUUUAUACCAUAACUUGCACUUCUCUUUUUAUGGAUUGAUAUUGUUGAAAUAUUUCAAGAAUAAUGUUGAGCAUAAAGUGUGGUUGUGAAUUGUCAUGAGUUUAAAGCAUGAAUUUUUGAGCCCAAAGAUCAAGUAUUGGGAUUUUAAUAUCAUGUUCUUGAAAGUUGUUUGAUUGUUAUAUCCAUAUCAAGAAUGAGUUUAAGUUUUUCAAGAAGGCUAUGACCUUAAGUUUUCCUAUAGAAAAUUGUUUCCCAAGAUUUAAAGAAAGUUGAUGUUUUGAUCCUAAGCUGAGAUAGGAAUCCACACUAUUCAUACACUUUGUGAUUUAAAGAAAAGAGAAGUAUAAUUGGUUUUCAUUGUAAACCCUUGUGUUGUUUUAAGGUGGAUUUCCUAAAGUUCUGAGCCUAAGUGAGAGUAGUAUUUAGCACCGAGUUGGGUAUAAUUUCAAGGUCUCAUGCCCCAGAACUACGUGUCACCGUAGGUUUAUGAUUGCCCAUAGUGGGCUAAGAUAGUGAUCACUUAAGUUAAGGUUCUAUUCCGAUGGCAAGGGAAGAACAGCUCUCCCCAACAUGAGCAAGACGUUGGACUCCAUGUCAACUCACAUGGUUUAUGUCGGUUAGAAGAAACUCCCAAGUCCAAGUUCCUAAGUCCCAAAGUUUCAAAAAAAAAAAAAGAUUUCCAAGGCUCCCAAAGUCUCUAAGUCCUAAUAGUAAAGAAAAUCUUUUAAAAGUAUUUUCCCUUUAGAUAAAAGAUAAAGUAUUUUCCCUGCAGUACAGUUUUUAAAAGAGAAUUCCCUAAAGCCUUAAAGAUAACCUUAUAGGAAGUUGUUUUAGAGUAUUUCUCUAUUAGUAAAAAAAGGCUUUUAGAAAACUAAAUGUAAAGGCUCACAAAGUUUACUCAGAUUAUGCUUUACAGAAAGAUAUUAGCUACAGUCUUCAGUUUUCAGAUUUAAAAGUGAGUCCUUUUAUACUUAGACAGUAUGAUUUACAGACAGAAUACUAGCACAGCUUUUAGAACUAAAUGUUAUGACUCACUAGAUUUAUAAAACAUGAUUUGAUUCUUAUUAUUUCAGAUUUCAAUUUUCAGAUAUUCCAGCUUAUGUGAAUCACUUACAUUUAGCAUGCAUGAAUUUAUAAAUUUUGAUGAUAUUAUGUUUUACUUAUGCAUUCACCCCCAUAUACUCAGUACAUCCUCAAAGUACUGAUCCACAUGUAUGUUUAUGUGCUACAUUGUCUUAUAAUGUAGGUAUAAGUUUUAGUAUGCACAUUCAGACUCGGACAGUUGUAGAUUCCAGCUAGCAAGAUGAUGAGUCCUUCUAAUUCGGGGACUUCAGUUAGAUUUAUUUAUGUUCUUUACUUUCUUAAUCAUAUGUAUUGAUUAGUGAUAGUUGGGGUUGCGUUCUAGCUAUCUAUAGUCAGUAUAGUAGAGGCUUCACAGAUGUCAUUUAGAGUCAGUCAUGUAAAUUCAGUUUUCAUCCUUCAGAUUUAUCAGAUUGUAAAGCUUUAUUAGUAUUGUAAUUUCACAGAUUUCAUCAUUUUAUGUUUCCGCACAGUAAAAUUAGUCAUGUUAUAUAUAUUAUUCAGUUGCUUAUGAGUUAUGCCAGUAGAAGAGUUAGCUUGGGAUCACUUGUGGUCCUAAGCAUCGUAUGACGUCUCAGGAUAGAUUUUUGGGGCGUUACAAUGGUAGAGGUAGGUCAAAGAAAUAUUGGAGGGGGGUGAUUAGGCAUGAUAUGGAGCAGUUAUAGCUUACAGAGGAUAUGACCCUUGAUAGGAUGGUGUGGAGGACGCGGAUUAGGGUAUAAGGUUGGGGGUGGGAGUGUGUCGGUAAUAGUAGGGGGCGUUCUUUAUUUGUGUCUGAAGUUUCUUGUCCGUGGUAUUGAGUGAUGUUUAUGGUUUCGGAUAGAUAGUUUUUAGUAUUAUCUUGUGGCUGUAGUAUUAUCUUAUUGCUAGUAGUGUUAUUUUAUUUUGCAUACUGUACUAGUUUAUAUGCAUUUAUAUUUUGUGUUUGUUAUACUUCUAUCGGUCCUAAGUCGGGAGGUCUAUCGAAAACAACCUCUCAACUUCACCUAAGGUAGUGGUAUGGUCUGAGUACACUCUACCCUCUCCAGACCCCACUAUGUGGGAAUACACUGGAUAUGUUAUUGUUGUUGUUGUACAUUUAACGGUUAACCAUCAAUUUUUUUUGCAGAACAAUUAACCAAAAUUCAUAAUAUUACAAGGUCUAAAACAACAUUUUAAAACUAUAGUCACUGUCAUCCUCAAGAGAAAUGUGUAAAAAUAGGACUACGAAGAGAACCAACAUCAACCUCGAACGCAAAUAAAACUAGCUAAUCAACCAACAUAAGUGCUCUUAAAUUACUACAUUCAUCCAGAUGAUAUAUGCUUGUUUAGUAGAGAGCUUUCGGCACCUGUACUUCACCAUUUCUUUACCUUUGACACCAAUAACCAUUUUGCUCCAGUCAAUUUCUAGGAAAGGUAGAAGAAGGGAAAAUUGAAUAUUAGUCCAAGUAAUUGACUAUUUUGUAGUCUUCUUCACUUGUAAAGGAAAACAAAGAAGAUGAUGCCCCAAAUGAUUCAUCUACCACCUGUAAAUUACAAGAAAAUAAUACGAUAGUAGAGAUAUCAAAAUAAUAUAAUUAAAUCUAAUAUUUACGUAAAAAAUUUCUCAAAGUAAACGAUAUUCAUCUACCACUUGUAAACUACAACAACAAAAUAAGAUAAGAGAGGUAUCAAAAUAAUAAAAUUAAACUCAAUCUUGAGGAUGUCAAGUGAGUCGGGUCAGGAUUGUUCGACCAGGUUAGACCGUCCGGCCGAGUUAGACGGUUCAAAUAGGAAACCGGACUGGUCUGGCCCAGAAUCGAUUUAGGGGGAGUUUGGGGCUGGGUAUCCGUGCUAGGCCGUCAGGUCCAAGGAGCUCGGUAGACCAGCCUAGUUGAAAAAUUGAAUCAGGCCCACCGGUGCACCAGAUCGAACCAGCCCGAUUAAAUAAAAAAAUUUAAAUGGCCCAACAACCUAUUUACUGAUUUUGGACAGUUAAUAAUGGCUACAUAGAUGUUGGCCCAACGACCAAAAUCAGUUUUUGGCUAAAAUUAUUUUUAUGAAAUCAAUUUUUUCCUAUAAACAAAUGACAUUUCGAACCAUUUUUUCUUAACUUACAAUCUCAUUUUCUCCAAAUUCUCUUAAUUAUUCUAAUUAUCUUCUAAAGUGCUCAAUUUUAUUUUAUUAUUUUGCAAUUAUAAAUAUUAAGUGAAAGUUUUCAAAAGUCUCUCAACUUUCAGAUACUUCAAAAAUUUGAUAUUGUCGUUCCAUCUCUUACUUUUAAUUAGUGUAUUAUUUGUUGGAUAUUUAUUUGUACGUGCGUUGCACAUGUGAUUCACGAUAAUUAAUAGGACUAUACAAAAAAAAUUUCAUGUUUUACCCUAAAAAAUUCUACAUCAAUUAAUAUGAAUAUUUUGACUAAAUACCCAUUAAUUAUUAUUUUUUUGAAGGUGUGUAAAGUUCAAAAUAGACAAAUAAAAGUGAAUGGAGGGUAGUUUAUGGUCAGAAACGUUUUUAUGACUUAUUUUAGAGUAAGGGUAUGUUUGGUACGAAGAAGAAAAUAUUUUCUAUGGAAACUUUUUUUGUAGAAAAUAAUUUCUUGGACAAUAAGUGUUUUUUUUUUAAAUUUUAUUUUCUAUGUUUGAUUGGUAAUCAGAAAAUAUUGUCGCAAGAUCAUCUACAGAUAUAAUCUAGGCAAACACUAAUGACAUCAAACCCAAUCACGGCCUCAGACCCUAACUUCUCAUCCAUGAUGUAGGACCCAACCAUGACAACCAACCCAAGACCCGAUCCCAGAUCUGCUCCCAUGACCCAACUCCCAAUCUCGACACGAGAAUCUACCCCGACUCUGUGUUCGAAACCCAACCCCAAUUUCUGAACCAAACCUAUGUGACUCUUAACCUCCAACUUGGAACCGCUCCGACACCUACCCCCGACCUAGAUCUGAUCCCGACUCGCAACUGUUGACUCUGGCAUUGAAUCAUGAUCCGUGAUCCAACCCCAACUCUCGACCCCGACAAACAAUCUAGGAUCCAACCUUGACUUUUAACCGGGACCCAACCUCAACCUCGACAGAUUUCAUAAGCCAAUUUUAUUUAGAUGAAAUUAAAGGCAAAUAAUCAAUUGCGACAAAUUUUAUUAGGUGACUUAUUAGGUUUUAUGUAAUUAGGAGUCUUUUCAUAUAUUUUAAUAUUUAAUUCUACUUUCCAUGUAUUAUAUUUACUUUAAAGAAUAUUUUUUAUUUUUUAAUCAUAUAUUUUAGGAUUCUUUUUCUUGUACAUAAGGAAAAAGAAAAUCUACUAAUAUUAGUUCUCCAUAUAUUUUAUUUUUAUCAUAUAUUUUAGUAUUCUUUAAUUUAAAUAAUUAAAUUAUAAUUGAAUAAAAAGAGUGAAGAAACUAUUUUUUUUAUUACGAAAUGCUUGAAUGAAGGUCAAAAAGUUCGAACCACAUUUUUAUAAGGUUCUUCACAAUUUUAAUAUUUCUAUCAAUUAAAAAGAAGGCAAUGAACGAUACAUGGAAAAAAAAAUUCAAUUAUUUCUAACGUGCUUAGAAUUUGAAAAUAAAAAAGAACUCAAACUUUCUCCAACUUACUGUCUUUUAAAGUGGCAAAUUCAACACAAUUAUAGCAUUUUAUGUAAACAUUUUUUACUCAUUUUUUUUUUUUUCAAGAAGUGGAUGGCGUUGCACUAUUGAGAUACUUCAUAUAAAUUUGAAUACAUAUAAGAUAUGUCAGUGCUAAAACCUUUUCUCAAGAUGUACAUCUUUUAAGCUGUUGGAGUUAUUUUCCAAACAUAUAUAUUGUUAAUUAGUGUUUAUAUAUGAUAAUUAGGAAAAAAUAAUAAAUGACAAAUUUGUCUAUUAUAAUUUUUUUUAGUAAAGAAUAUAUGUAUAUGUACAAAUGGUACGCAUUUAUAAAGUAAGCUUAAUCGUAAAUAGUGAUUUUAUUGUUGAGAUACUUUCGACUCGUCGUAUGGCUAUACCGUCAAAUUUUGAGGUUCUGAAGCUGAAGAGCUUGCUGCAAGAUUACCUGCAUGACCAACAAAUCAAUUUGUCUUCUAAUGAUAAACUUUUGAAUUUGAGUUUGACAUAUAUAUAGACUUGAAAAUUAUAGACUUAGAUGGGGAAACACAACAAAUAAAAUUAAGGCCUAAAAAAUCAUGCUCCCUCAAGUAAAAUAAAUUAUACUUGAAAUUUAAUUUGCUAUCACUAAUAUUUCAUGAGAAUACCGCUUGAAAAUUAUGAACCUAGGUGGGGGAAACAAACUUAAAAAUUAAGGCUUAAAAAAGUUAUGCCACCGUAAUAGAAAUAACCAAUAGAUUCUCGAUCAAUCAAUCAAACCUUGUAUAUAAAAAAAAACUAAUUAUUAAAAAGUAGCAUUGACAAUUAAAAUAAAUGUUAUAUUUAUCAUAAAAGAAUCUCAUUGUGAAAAUUAAAAAAAUUCAUACCAAUUUAGAGCUUAUACAACAACAAUAACAUACUUGGUCUGAUCCUAUAAAUCAAGUCUAGGAAUAAUAGAGUAUAUGCGGACCUUGCUUCUGCCUUGUAUAAGGUAUAGACUGUUUCCGAUAAACCCUAGGCUGAAAGCAUUUUCAACAACAAAUUUGACAAAUACACGAACAAAAGUCAUAGUGAAAAUGCUAUAAAAAUAGUAGAGCCUAUAAAAUGCUCUAGAUUGAUAAUACAAAGUAAUCAAGCUAAUACAAGGAAAUGAAGUUUUUAAAAAAAUGAAAGAAAAUAAAUGAGGACGAAGUUGAAUUUCCUAAGCUACUCCAUUUUAAACUGAUACAAUGUCAAAAAGCUGUAGUAUAUAAAAAAUUGGCCUUCAAACAACAAAUAUAUUAAAUGUUGGACUACGAAAAUAAUCUCACAAAAUUGAACGAUAUAAUUGUCUUUCUAUUAAAAAAAUAUUUAGUAGAUAAAAAUGUAAAUACAUAUUACAAUAAACACUAUAAAAAAAUAAAAUACACAUUGUAUUAAAAUAAAAUUUAAAGAUCAAUUAAAAGAAAGAAAAAUGUGACGGUAACCUUUUCUAUCUUAAAACUUGGCACCCUAUCUAUUUAAUUUUAAAGUACAAAAUAUUAGGAGCUAUUACAAAUACCCUAUUCACCAUAUAAAAAGAAUUAAAUUAUUAGAAAAUGACAAUUAACGUUAAAUUAAAUAUUACAUCUAUUUGAAUGAUACAAGUAAAUAUUGUACCUCAAAUUAUAUGAUAUUGUCUAUUAUGUCUCGCCUGAUCAUUUUGUUGGUUUACUUUCUUUUAAUUUUGGCUAUUUCUAUUGCGCAAGAAUUUUACUUCUGUUAAUAAAUCAUCGUACAUAGUUAGGAUAAAAAUCAAUAUGGAUAUGGAAUUAAAUUUUUAAUAAUUUUUUUCUGUGGUAAGCAAAACAAUUAUAUUUAUUUACUUAAGUGCAACUUACAAAAUCAAACAGACAACCACCUGCUUCUCAACAAAAUCCAAAGCAAAGAAACUUACAAUAUAGCCUAUGUCACGAACCAAAAACGAGGGUCAUGAUGACACUUGUCGCGGCAUACCUUAACAAGUAAGUCUAUCACCCAAACUGAUACGAAAAGAGGAAAAGAUAAAAAUAUUCCAAGGUAAGGCUUUUAGAACGAAGCCGGACCAUAUAAGUAAUCAUAACAAUGUGGAAAGAACUUAUCCAAAAUACCAAUCAUAAUAAAGAAGAUAAAAUGCCAGCUGGAAGGAUAAAGAUACAGAGCAAUAAUGAAGCAGAUACAGAGCAAUAAUGGAGCAGAUACAGAGCAAAUAAUGGAGCAGAUACGACAAAAAUCAACGGAGACAAGAUACUGUAUAUUAAUUAAUUCGUUAGACUUUUUAUGUAACCAUUAUUAUUGACUUUUUUCUUUUCUUAAGUCUUAGAAAUUGAAUGUAAGAUAUCUUUUCUUUCUUAGACUUUAACUUACGUAGAAAUUUAGGAUAGGUUAGGUGGGAUAGACCCCACUUCUUUAAAUUUUUCAUUACUCUUUAGAGAUGUAAAUUUGUAAAAAGCAUUCUAUAAAUACAAAGGCAGAAGCAUUGCGGAAAGCAGGCCGAAAGCCUAUGUACCAAAUCUAUUAUACCUAUUUAAUUAAAUCCGCGCACCCCCCUACAAAUGGUAUCAGAGCACAGUAAUUUAACAAGUACGGAAGAGAUGUGUAUUAGAGUUAGAGUUAUAGAAUUAGAAUUAGAGUUAAAGUUAAAAAAUUACCUACGAAAAAAUUAAAUUAAUUAUGCGAAGACCAUUUAAAAAUAGAGAAGCUUUUAGAAAAAUUAAAAAAUCUUUAAUUAGUAAUUAUUCAGAAUAUAUAAGUCUAAAUAAAACAAAAGAAAAUCCACAAAAACUAGCCUAUUUAAUUACAUUAAUAUCUAGUAUUGAAUCAAAAUUAAUAACACAUUUAAAAUCUAGAAGAAUGAAACAUAUACCGCCUAAUUAUAAUAAAAUUAGAUUUAGAUAUCCACCGAGAUAUUAUAAAUAUAAUUUAAAAUGAAUAAGGUACAACAAUAUAAAGAAUUAAAACAAAUUAUCUCUGAAAAACGAAAAGAAUUAAAAAUAAGAAUAGAAAGACUAAAUUAUAAUAUAUUUGCCGGAGUAAGUAAAAAUUCAAUAAAUACACAAAAAGAUGAAAUAUCAAAAUUAGAAUCACAAAUAGAUAGCUUAGAAUAUAUAUAUCAACAUGAACUAUUCACAAUAAAAUGAAUAAAGAAGAAUUUAUAAUAGAUGAAAAAAUAUAUGAAAACUACGAAGGAUCAAAAAUAAAAAUAGUAUUUUCUAAUCUAGGACGAAGAUAUAAGAAAAUAGGUGAACAUUUAUAUCUAAUGUUAGAAAAAGAAGAAUUAAAAUUAGAAGAUAAAUUAACAGCAAUGGUAAGAAUAGAAAAAGAAAAUGAAGAGAUAGAUAGGAAAAAAGAAAUAGAAAAAAUAAAACAACAAACUACGGAAGAAAUACGAAAAAUAGAAGAAACCAAAAAUAGUAGAAUUGCUGAAUUAGAAAAAGAAUUACAAAUGUUAAAAGAACUGUAUGAACAAAGACAAAAAGAAAAAGAAGAAAAAGAUAGAGAACAGAAAUUACUAAAUGAGAUAAAUCAAUUUAAGGAAAAAUUAGAAAUAAAAAACGAAGAAUUAGAAAUAAAUAAUAUAGAUAUUGAAGAGACAGAUAAUUAUGAGUCCGAAGAUAGUGAAACAUACACAGAAAUAUUAACAAAUACAAAAAAUUUAGAAAUCAAUGAAGAACAAAAAAUUAAUGAGGAAAACUUAGAAAAUACCCACACAGAAAUAAAUACUCUUGAUAAAAAAGAAAAUGAAAAUAUAAUACCUAAAACAACAGAAAUAAGAAAACCUAUAUACCAUAAGAAUAAGUUUAAAAAAUAUAAUGAAUAUGAUAAAUGGAUACCAAAACAAAUAGUGAAUAAAAAUUAUAACUUUUUAGAUCUAGACUGUGUAAUAGAUACAGAAAAAACAAUACAAUUAUGGAUAGGAUAUAUGACAAAACAAUUAUUAGAUAAUAAUAUAAAUAUAACAGAUGCACCGGAAUAUAUAGAAAAAACACUAAUAGGAUCAGUAAAACUAUGGUUUGCAAAUCUAACCGAAAAUAGCAAAAAAGUAUUAAGAACUAAUAAACCUAUAGAAGGAACAUCAUCGACAACAACUAAACUAACACCUAUAGAAUUAUUAAAAAAAUAUGAAACAGCUAUAAAAGAUGAAUUUGGUAGUACGACAACAAUCGAAGAAGAACAAAAUGAAGAAAAAGAUACAAAUAGAAAUUUAAUGUUAAAAUUAGCAAUAUGUAAUAUGUGUUAUAUAGAUGAAUAUACUUGCGCAUUUAAAGAAUAUUAUUACAAAGGAGCAUAUAGUAUAGAAGAAAGUAAAGAAAUAAGAAAAUUAUAUUUUAAUAAAUUACCCGAGCCAUUUAGUUCGAAAAUAAUAAAAAGUUGGGAAGAAGCAAAAAUAGUAGAUACGUUAGGAGCAAGAAUAAAAUAUUUACAACAAUGGUAUAGAAACUUAUGUGAAAAAUAUAGAGAAGAAUUAAAAAUGGAAAAAACAUUAAUAAGAAAUUUAGCUUGUUGCAAAAAUAAAAUAGCACCCCAAUUUGGAUGCGAAGAAAGAUAUUAUAAGAAAAGAAAAAGACAUAAGAAAUAUAAGAAAUAUAAAAAAUCAAAAUAUAAAUAUAAAAAACCAAGAAAAAGAUACUAUGUAAAAAAUUAUAAACAUAAAAGACCAUAUAGAAAAAAGAAAUCUAUAAAAGAAUGUACUUGUUAUAAUUGUGGAAAGUUAGGACAUUUAGCUAGAGAUUGUAAAUUACCUAAAAAUCCAAAAAAUAAACAAAUAUCAGAAAUAAAAAUAGAAAAUACCGAAUACAUGCAGAUAGAUUAUAUAGAUUAUGAAUUAGAAAGUGAAGAUAGUAUAUAUGAAAUUUCAGAAAACGAAACAGAUAAUGAAAUAGAUAGCGAAAUAGAUGAAUCAAAUGACUGAAGAAGAUAUAAAAAUAAUAACAAAGGAAGAAUAUUUAAAUGAUGAAGGAACGGAACAAAAAAUAAUAUUUGACAGUAAUAUAUUUGAUGAAAUAAAAGGAAAAGAAUUAGAUUUAAGUGUAGACAAAAUAUUUAAAAUACCAACAAUAAAAAAUAUUUUUACUAGGAAAAAAGAUGAAUAUUAUGUAGUAUGCCAAAAAGAACAUGUAAUAGAUUGCAGAUAUGCAAAAGGAAAAGCUAGUAUACCACUAGUAACAAAAAGAAUAAUUAAUAAAGAAAUAAAUGAUAUAAAAAGUAAAGGAGAUCCAAUAAAAUAUGUACACCUUGGAGGUACAGAGAUAUUAAUAAAAGCAUGUUUUAGAGAAGGAAUAGAUACACCAAUAGAAUUAUAUUUAGCAGACGAUAGAAUUAUAAAACCUAUAGAAAAAAGCAUAAUAACUGCCGUAAAAGGAAAUCUAAUAUACCAAAAAUUUAAAUUUAUAAUAAGUGCAAAUUAUUCAGUAGCAGUAACAGAUAGGAAUAUAGAUAAAUCAUUAGUAUUAUAUUGGAAAAUAUCAGGAAUAGAGUUAACCCCAGGAAGUAAAAUAUUUACAGCAAGAUGUAAAAACCUAUAUGUAUUAACAACAAAACAUAAAAUAACAGGAAAAAAUAAGAUUAACAAAAUACAAAUAGAAAGCCCAUUCGAACAAAUAGUAAAAACAAUAGAUUAUAAUGAUUAUACCUAUAGAGACAUAGAUACAGAAGAAAAUUUAGAAAUAGUAAAUGAUAGAAUAAGUACAACGAAAAGAAUAGCUAAUGAAAAGCCAGAAUCAUCAAGCUCAUCAAAAAGAACAAGUUAUGAAACAAACUCAAUAAGUAAUUUAAACCAAUAUUACAUAACGGGAAAAAUAAAUGAAAAAGAAUAUUUAAUACUUUUGAACACAGGACAAGAAGAAAAUUAUAUAGCAAAAUAUCUAGUAAAAAAUGAAGAAAUAAAAACCGACAAUAAUAUAUGCCCAGACUUACCAAGAAGUUUAAUAAAUAAUAAAAAUCUAGCAGAAAAAGAAAUAAUAUUAGGAGUUAGAAAAAUAAAAAUAGAAUUCGAAGUAAAAGAAGAAAUGCAAAAAGCAGAUAUAAUAUUAGGAAUAAAAUGGUUAGAACAAGUAAAACCAUAUAAUAUAGAACAUACACAAUUAACCUUAACAUAUAACCAAGAAAAGUUAUUCUUAAAAAGAGCCUUAACAUGAAAUGAAGAUACAUGUAUUAAUGAAGAUAGUAGUAGAAGGAUAUUACAGUAGAUAUUAUACGCCUAUGAUAGAUACAGGAGCAGAAGCUAAUUUAUGUAGAUAUAAUUGCUUACCAGAAAGCAAAUGGGAUAAACUAAAAACACCAAUAAUAGUUAAAGGAUUUAAUAAUGAAGGAAGCUUAAUUACUUAUAAAGCUAGGAAUGUAAAAAUACAAGUAUGGGAUAAGAUAUUAACAAUAGAAGAAAUUUAUAACUAUGAAUUAACAUCAAAAGAUAUACUUUUAGGAAUGCCAUUUUUAGAUAAAUUAUACCCACAUAUAAUAACUAAAACAGACUGGUGGUUUACAACACCAUGCAAACAAAAAGUAAGAGCAAAAAGAGUUAAUAAUAAAAUAAGAAAGAAAACUGAUUGGAUAAAAGGAAGUGAAAAAAUUACACAAAAGUUAGAAAAUAUAAACAAUACUGAAGAUACAGUAGAACUAGUAGUAUUUUCGAUAAAUAAAACAGAAAUAACUAUAUUUUCAAUAAAUAAAAUAGAAAUAAUUCAGAAAAAAUUAGAACAAUUAUAUAGUGAAGAUCCAUUAAAAGGAUGGGAAAAACACAAAACUACUAUAAAAAUUGAAUUAAUAGAUAAGAAUAGCAUAAUAACACAAAAACCAUUAACAUAUAAUUUUGAUGAUUUAAAAGAAUUUAAAAUGCACAUAGAUGAAUUAUUAGAAAAACAAUAUAUACAAAAAAGUAAUAGUAAACAUAAUAGUCCAGCAUUUAUAGUAAAUAAACAUAGUGAACAAAAAAGAGGAAAAAGUAGGAUGGUUAUUGACUAUAGAAAUUUAAAUGCAAAAACUAUAACAUAUAAUUAUCCGAUACCAAAUAAGAUAUUAAAAAUAAGACAAAUCCAAGGAUAUAAUUAUUUUAGCAAAUUUGAUUGUAAAUCAGGAUUUUACCACCUAAAGCUAGAAGAAGAAUCUAAAGAAUUAACCGCAUUUACGGUACCACAAGGAUUUUAUGAAUGGAACGUGUUACCAUUUGGAUAUAAAAAUGCACCAGGUAGAUAUCAACAUUUUAUGGAUAAUUAUUUUAAACAAUUAUCUAAUUGUAUAGUAUACAUAGAUGAUAUAUUAUUAUACACCAAAACCAAAGAAGAACAUUUAAAAUUAUUAGAACAAUUCACAGAUAUAAUAGAAAAAUCAGGAAUAAGUCUAAGCAAAAAGAAAGCUGAAAUUAUGAAAAACCAGAUAGAAUUUUUAGGAAUACAAAUAGAUAAAAGUGGAGUAAAAAUGCAACAACAUAUAGUACAAAAAAUAAUAAAUUCGAAAGAAGAAUUAGAUACAAAAAAGAAAUUACAAUCAUUUUUAGGAUUAGUAAACCAAGUAAGAGAAUAUAUUCCAAAAUUAGCAGAAACCUUAAAACCACUGCAGAAAAAAUUAAAAAAGGAUAUAGAAUAUAAUUAUGAUGAAAAAGAUAAAAAACAAGUUCAAAAAAUAAAAUUACUUUGUAGAGAAUUACCAAAAUUGCAAUUUCCAGAUGAAAAUAGAAAAUUUAUAUAUAUAGUAGAAGCAGAUGCAAGUGAAUAUAGUUACGGAGGAGUACUUAAAUAUCGAUAUGAAGCAGAAAAAAUAGAACACCAUUGUAGAUACUACUCAGGUACGUUCAACGAGACAGAAAUAAAAUGGGAAAUAAAUAGGAAAGAAUUAUGUUCAUUAUAUAAAUGUUUAUUAGCAUUUGAGCCAUAUAUUGUAUAUAACAAAUUUAUUGUACGAACAGAUAAUACACAGGUACGCUGGUGGUUAACAAAGAAAAUACAAAAUUCAGUUACAACAAAAGAGAUUCGAAGACUAGUUUUAAAUAUAUUAAAUUUCACAUUUACAAUUGAAGUGAUCAGUACUAACAAAAAUGUUAUUGCAGAUUACAUAUCAAGACAAAGCUACACAGACUGAAAUAGUAGAGGAAGAUACUCUAGAAAAAAUACUUAACACCCUAACUACGCUUUCAAUGAAAGUGGACAGUAUGGGUAAUGAGAUAGAAAAGCUAAAGACUAAUGAAGAUAAACUGAAGUCUAUAGCUACAAAUCAGCUAACUCAGCAAUGUGCAGAGCUAUGUCGAUCGAAAGACAUUAAAAAUCCAGAGCUAGAAGGAGACGUUGGGACACUCCAUAAAACCCAUAACAUUUAUCAAUCUACUUCUGCAGGUACAAGCAAAGGAGUUAAUAGACCAAGAUACCAGAAUGUAAAUAUGAACAAAAUAUUUGAAAAACCAUUUACCCCAAAAGCACAAAAAGACCAUUUAUUCAUACCCCCACAAGUUAACACAUACCGAGACAGCCUAAACCAAGACAAGAAAAUAUACAACUACACAGCCCAAAAAUACAUAGAAAAUAUAUAUAGAGUCCAAACCUUUCUAAACCAUAACCCCAGAGCUACAAAUAUCCAAGAACCAAAUACCAAUUAUAUAACCCAAAAACUACAAGGAUACAAUAAACUGAUAGCACUACCCAAAACUAACCCAAGCCUAGUUAAAACUUGUUUUGACUAUGGACUACUAAAUACCAUAUACACCCAAGACGGAGAAGAGCUAACAGCUAUGGAGGAAUUAUACAAGAUAUUCACUACCUACAAAAGAAUAACAAAAGGAAAUUUAUUUUAUAUAAAGUGUUAUACUGCACCAGCAGAGAUAUUAUAUGACGAAAUAAAACCAGUUAUACAAGUUGUAAAGAUAGGAUUAACAAGAGAUAUGAUUAUACCAGAAGAUAUUUCGCAACAACCGGAGAUACCUAGAAUCGAGAUACCAGAUUUUUAUGCAAAUAAAAGACUUAUUGGACUAGCUACGAUCAUUCAAGAACUAGCAAAUAACUAUGCUAACGGAAACCCAAUAUGGAGCUACUAUUCAAGAGAUCACCAAAUGAUAUAUUCAAAUUCAAAAGAGCUACGACAAGCAGAUAUGGAAGACGUAAGACAAUGGAUACUGACGCUACUUAACCCAGAAAAAAAAAUCUACCGCGCGAGCAAUGAAAAAGGGAUUUAUUUCAGACGGACUGCUAACAAGAUACUGUAAGAUAAUCGGACAUAAAUAUCCAGACCACCAAUGUUCAAGNNNNNNNNNNNNNNNNNNNNNNNNNNNNNNNNNNNNNNNNNNNNNNNNNNNNNNNNNNNNNNNNNNNNNNNNNNNNNNNNNNNNNNNNNNNNNNNNNNNNNNNNNNNNNNNNNNNNNNNNNNNNNNNNNNNNNNNNNNNNNNNNNNNNNNNNNNNNNNNNNNNNNNNNNNNNNNNNNNNNNNNNNNNNNNNNNNNNNNNNNNNNNNNNNNNNNNNNNNNNNNNNNNNNNNNNNNNNNNNNNNNNNNNNNNNNNNNNNNNNNNNNNNNNNNNNNNNNNNNNNNNNNNNNNNNNNNNNNNNNNNNNNNNNNNNNNNNNNNNNNNNNNNNNNNNNNNNNNNNNNNNNNNNNNNNNNNNNNNNNNNNNNNNNNNNNNNNNNNNNNNNNNNNNNNNNNNNNNNNNNNNNNNNNNNNNNNNNNNNNNNNNNNNNNNNNNNNNNNNNNNNNNNNNNNNNNNNNNNNNNNNNNNNNNNNNNNNNNNNNNNNNNNNNNNNNNNNNNNNNNNNNNNNNNNNNNNNNNNNNNNNNNNNNNNNNNNNNNNNNNNNNNNNNNNNNNNNNNNNNNNNNNNNNNNNNNNNNNNNNNNNNNNNNNNNNNNNNNNNNNNNNNNNNNNNNNNNNNNNNNNNNNNNNNNNNNNNNNNNNNNNNNNNNNNNNNNNNNNNNNNNNNNNNNNNNNNNNNNNNNNNNNNNNNNNNNNNNNNNNNNNNNNNNNNNNNNNNNNNNNNNNNNNNNNNNNNNNNNNNNNNNNNNNNNNNNNNNNNNNNNNNNNNNNNNNNNNNNNNNNNNNNNNNNNNNNNNNNNNNNNNNNNNNNNNNNNNNNNNNNNNNNNNNNNNNNNNNNNNNNNNNNNNNNNNNNNNNNNNNNNNUUUUUUCGUUCUAUAUAAAUCAGAGGCAGAAGGCUUUGCAAAGGCAAGCCUUCAUGCGUUGAAGCAAAUCUCUCUCUCCAUUCCACAAACAAAAAAUUUACUCAGUUAAUUAGAAAAAUAUACUCCAAUGGAAAAAGCUAUGGAACAACAGGAACAACAAAACUCAGAAACAUCAAAGCUACCGGAACAGGUAUAUCUAUUUAUAAUUAUGAAUAGCUAAUUUCAUAAUUCCCAACAAUCAUGAUAUGAUAAAAUAAUUCAUAUUAGUUACUUUAUAGUAGAAUUAUUCGAAGAAUAAUAUGUUAAGAAGUUUAUUAACAAAGAGGAAACGGAGAAAUAUCCCUAAGGACUAUGCCAUCCUAAAGGUGAAACCAUUGAGGCAAGAAGCCGUGGCGGGGAGUAACCAGAGUAGAGGCGCUGUUUAAGGGAAAAAGUAUCCGGAUUACCAUGUUAAUAGUGACGGAAGAACAUAUUAUUUAAGAAUAAUCUAGUAUAUAGUAAGCCAAUAUGACCAUAUUUUGUUGUGUACGUGAUUGAAGGGAAUAUUUUGAAAAAAGCAAAUUUAUGAAAAAUGAAUGAUAAUAUAUCUGAUGUGAUGGUAGAUAAAUUCAAGAUACUUAUUUUGUAUGCACUUAGAAAUAUAAAAAUAGCAGAUAUAAGAAAAAUAAUAUUAGAAAAAGCUUUUGGUAAAUAUUAUACGUCUAGAAUAAGCUAUAUACCACAAAUACCUAACUACUCUUAUAAAUACUUAAGGUGAUAAAUUACAUAAAAUUUUAGAAAAAAGAUAAAAAAAAAAAAACUUUUGCAGUUACUAGAAAAAAUAAAAAUAAACACAUGGAAAAUAAAGAUAUAAAAUUUCUCAAUAAAAAUAUGCAAAAACUACUAAGACUAAAACAAACAGCUACAAAACAAUUUUAAAAAUAGAUCAUUUAGAUUAUCUUAAAAUUUUAAUAUUAUAUAUACU